rnacentral:lncRNA from 1 species
GCUCUUCCCGUCGCUGACGUACACCGACGUGUAGUGGUUAAUUCCGACGAAAUCGAUGCUCCCACGGAUCAGCUCCGACUGUUCCUCGGUGAAGGCCGGAAUCCUGGACCCAGCUUUCUUCUUCAUGAUCUCAGGGUAGUCUCCAUACACCAAAGGGUCCAAGAUCCUAAUAACCACAAAUCAACAUUCAGAAAAACACAUACACUCAGCCGAUUCCAUGGCUUCAAAUUAAUAAGAUUUUCCUCCCUCACCAGCCGAUCAUGAAGUCGAGCGACCUCUGCGUGGCAGCGACGUCGGCGGGGCUGUCGGAGAAAGGAUAGUUCCAGAAGCUGUAGAUGUUCAUGCCGACGACGCCCUUCUGCGCGGCCCUGUACUUCUGAUGGUAGAGCCUGACGACGGAGGCGUGCGCCAGGAUGGAGUGGUGCGCCACGACGUAGGGCUCCACGGUGGAGUCCCCGACGGUGCAGUUGAUCCCGAACGGCGCGGAGCAGCGGCACGGCGGGAAGGCGCCGCUGUCGUAGGCGGCGAUGGAGAUCACGUUGGGCUCGUCCAUGGUGGUCCAGUGCCGCACCCGGUCGCCGAACUCCCGGAAGCACGCGUCCGCGAACGCCGUGAAGUCGGCCCUGCACCCAAUCUUCAGAAACUUUCUUUCUCGCAUUUAAUUUGCAGCUGAGUAGAGAUAAUUUGAUUAAGAUCUCAUCUUACACGACCCUGGGGCUCAGCCAGCCGUGGUACUCGUCCUCCAGGAUCUGAGGGAAAUCCAGGUGGUACAGAGUCACGUGUAUCUCGAUUCCUACAGUGCGCAUACAUGUGUAGUUGGGCAUGAUUCACGGAUUAAAGUUGGAUAUUACUAUGUCUGUUCAACCUUUUAGUACCUCGUUUCGUUAGCUCGUUUAUCAGGUUGUUGUAAUACUCCAGGCCUUUCGGGUUCAGAGGUCCUCUUCCUCCUGCAGUUUGCAUGAAGAACAAAAUUAAACUCGCAAUUUAUUAAGGAUGAUCAGUCUACUCUCCCAACAUGGCAACAUGUACAGGGGCGCAGCUGACCGGCGGUAGGUGUUCUUACUUGGGAUGAGCCUAGACCAAGAAAUGGAGAACCGGUACGCCUCCAGCCCAGUGUCAGACAUCAACUCCACAUCCUCCUGCACAUACGCACACGUAAGACAGAAAAAAAAUUGUAAACUUGCAAAUUGCAGUUGCACAUUUAAAACCCAAUCCAGUUGACAUGAUCCCUAUUCCAAUAUUAAUGGUCAAAGUUACAGUUUUUCUUCUGCCUGCACAUUUGUAUCCUUCCGAGACCAUGCCCGCACAUGUUCUGACGGAGGGAGUUUACCAGAAACAAACGAUGUGCAUGUUUUUUUUAAAAAAAAAACAGCUGUCUGCUCUAGUAUUUUUCAACAACUAUGGAAAAUGACACACAUAGAUAGGAGUUCCAACAGGAAGGAUACACCCAGAAACAAACGCAAAGACAUCGCUAUCGAUCAGAAAAGUUCAAGCGAGAUGACUGUAUUUUGUAUGUACGCUGAUGAAAUGCAGACCUUGUAUCUGUGGUAGCCAUCUGCGCCCAAAUCGCCGGUGCUCUUGUCCGGCAUCUUCCCUGCGGUCACAGUCGUCAAAUCAGCAACGAAAUGUCAGUUCCGUAUAGUACAAUCUGUGUCGUUUCUGUGUUUGUUUGUGGGUGAGGUGUAGAGAGGGGACGAUCAUGUGCAAAUUGCUUUUUUCAGGAAGCCGGUGUUGGAGUAAUUAGGAUGCUGGAAUACAGGAUGUUGACUGUAGUUUUGGAGAAAAUUGUUUUGUACUCUACCUACCGAACCUUGCCUUGUUCAACACAUGUUUCAUGUAAGCCAGAAAACAAAAUGUUGGUUCGACAAAGUUGCACCUCAUUAAGCCUAAACUUCGUCGAAAAAUGGCGUGCAACUUUAGAACUAAGCGAGUCGUACCUCAUUCCGUCAGAUAAAAAUAACUAAUCAAAGAUCAUGGUCGACCGAGAAACAGAGAGCCCCACGAAAUAGCCACUGAUCGAGCUUCCAAAUUGAGACAGGGAACUGAAGCUACAUAUACAGACCCCAUAUAUAAAGUGAUAAGCCGUGAGAUUAUAUCAUCACCUGCAUGAGUAAAAGUGUCCCAGAUGCUUGGGCUCCUCCCGUCUUCAUCGGUCGCCCCCUCGUACUACACGCACAACGCAAACAAGCAAAGAAACUAUCAAAUUGGCAGAAAAACAAAAGUUUGCUUCAUUUCUGAAAACAAAUAAUCACUCUACCCAAAAAGCUUUACUAUCACUAACUGCUCUAUGAUUCUCAAAAAACUAACUGCUCUAUGAUGAUGAGUUGAACAGGCGGAGUACCUGGUAGGCCGACGUGCCGGCGCCGAAGACGAAGUCGCUGGGGAAAUCCGCCCUGGUGAAGUCGAGAGCUCGGGCCGCCGUCCCGCCUUGCCAUAGCGCGACAAGCAGUAGCAAGGAGACGAGGAGGGGAGACUUGCGCCUGCAGUAGGCGCACGGUAUGGCCCUCAUCGUUUCUCUGCCCCCGUCUCUGAAGUCUGAACUCCUGUGGGCUUCUCUGGUUCUUACGUUGUUGGCUUGGCCGGACGUCUUAUUUAUCAGCUUAAUUAGCUUCUAGUUUGCGACGGACGACGUCUGAUAGACUGAUAGAAACAUUCUACAGCUUUUGGUAACCAUUGAGGGGAUAUGAAUAUGAUAUUGUAGGGCCGGACGACCGGCUGUAUACUCAAGGGCUUGUUGAUUCAAUGGGAUUUAUGAUACUACCACGGUACAAUAAUUCUUGUCUUAAAUUUGCCUCAAAAUAUAUGUAUCUAUUUCUAAAAUCGUCUAAAUACAUGUAAUAUUUCGACAAGAAUUAUGGGACAGAGUGACCGAGGGAGUAAGAUACAUGUGGACUUUUCGCAACAGAAAACAGGGUGCUACAGUGCUACUCUUUUUUUUUCAUUUUUGGAAAAAAAAGGGGAAGUGUUACCUGCAUAUAUAGUUGUAUCUGUCGCCGAAAACACAUCUAUUGAAGGCGGGCUUGGCUCAAGCUUUGUUAUCCGUCGUAAGUUUGUAACAAAGAGAAGAACAUACUGUACAUGGGUCGAGGCCAAAGGUUUCUGAUCGGUUCGACCGAGCCACCUGCCCGGACGUUCGCCCGAUGUCGCGCGGCAUGCAGCCCUUCGUUCAUCCGACGGCCGGCAGCAGGUCGCCAAGGGAAAUCUCCCGUCCACCGUGUGCGUGCACUCAUUAGUAAUCCCCGAUUAGUUUAAGAAAGCAAAUGGUGAUGCUAGAAAAAUGAAUGAUGACAUCAUUGCUUCUCUACUUUCCCCAAGUGCCAUUGUUUUGUCCUCCCGUGCGCAGACUGCAAAACCCACGAGGCUAGAAGGAUUACCACAGAACAGUGAGCUAAUCCACAAGAAACAGUUUCACAAUAUUCUUUUUUUUUAGGUUAAAGGCUGUACGCAAAAAUACCUACAGUCAUAUAUUAAAAUAAAAGUAACUGUACAAUUGGAAAAAGAAACAAACUAAAGAGAACUAUUUGAAGCUAGCCAGCCAAGUGGCCAUGUUGGAAUAUUUCUUUCUCUUAGCUCUAUGAAAGAUCAGAUUCAUUUCUUAUUUGAAAAGUUGCUUGCAUCCGUAGAGGCUCGGGGGACGCUGGUUGAAGAUGAAAUCAUUACGGACUUUCCAAAUGCUCCAUGCACCCAAGAUGAUAAUCUCCAUGAAGAAAGGUACCUUGAGCUUGCAUUUGAGUGAUUCCAAAUUUAAAUGGACAUUGGCUACUGGAGUGAAGUUGCCACAUAGGUAUGACCAGCAAGCUUUAGCAAAUGGGCAGUGAAAGAACAUGUGAUCUCUUGUUUCUAACUGUGGCAAACCACAUAAAACACAUUCAUAUGAUGGGAGCUGAAAAGACCUCUUCUAAAGCAUAGCUCUGGUAUUGAGACGUUUGAUAAGAAGCAUUCAGAAGAAAAAUUUGUGUUUCAAUUGGUAGCAGGAUUCCCAGAGCCAUCCAAAGUCAGGGGGCAAAUCCAGAUGAUUAAUUUGAGCCCUAUAUGCCUCGGCAGGGAUGAAGGAGUCUUUCUUCCAAAUGUAUGUCCAUGUGUCAUGGUCGUCAGCUUGAGCAAAAUUUUCCAGCAUACCAAGGAGCUGAGUAAAUUGGUCAUAGGCAGUAAGAGACAGGGGGAGAUAGAAGAGUGUCUCCUUAUGCUCAUUCUGUAUGAAGUCUUGGACACAGUCAUGCUUGUUCUUGGCAAAGGAGUGGAGGUGUGGCCAUCUAGUGUCCAGGAUGUCCCCUUGCCAAUGAUCAGAAUAAAAAAAGGUGGUUGCCCCAUUGUUAAUCUUGGCCACAGCAAGUUGUUUAAAAGUAUCAAUUACUUUAAGAAUGUCCUGCCACCAGAAAGAAGCUGUGGUUUGUUUGUAGGGAGGAAGACCAAUGUGGUAGUGUUUUUUCCAGACAAAUUGUACCCAUGGAAUGUCCAACCUGUUAUAGAAUUUGUGCAGAUUCUUCAUUAGGAGAGCUUUAUUUUGGAGGCUAACGUUGAUGACACCCAGACAACCUUCUUCUUUUGGUUUGCAAACCAUCUCCCAGGCAGCAAGAGGUGGAUUCUUUUUGGUGAGAUCUUGAUCUCUCCACAAGCAAUGUCUUCUGAAUUUGUCAAUCUGUUCAAUGACCCCUUUUGGAAGGAGGAAGGUGUUCAUGUAGAAAGACGGCAAUCCUGAGAGAACAGAGUUAACCAGCUGCAGUUUUCCUCCAUAUGUGGUGACAAUAUUCUAUUUCCUCCGUUCCAUAAUUCUUGUCUCAAAUUUGUCCAAAAUGAAUGUAUGUAUUCCUAAAAAGCGUCUAAAUACAUAUUUCGACAAGAAUUAUGAAACAGUGGGAAUACUAUCUUAAACUAGCUAAUGCAACUGGGGAGGCUUCUGGGUGGAUCGAAGGUAAUAAAAACAAAGUUUCAAAAUACACACACACACACCCACACCCACCCACACACACACAUAUGCAACCGUGUGUUGCAAUUCAUCGAGGGGAAAGUGUAUAUUUUGGUUCUUCGACUGUUGCCCAUGUUAUGUUUAUAUUUGGUCCCUCGGAUCUAAAAUCACAAAAAUCUAGCCCUCAUUCCUAAAACCACGUACUCCUUCAUUUCACAAAUAAGUGUACUUUUAAAUUUUGUCCUAGGUUACACUGUUGGAGGAAAACUAAUAAACAGGUGCGACAUCUGUCAUCUGAGGGGACGAGGCAUCGCUCACAAAUAGCCAAUGAGAGCAAAUUCUUAUGAUGAAGGUUUUUUCGAGUGUUGAGUGCAUCCCGGGAGAGCAAUCAAGCGGAGACCUUGGUCUUAUUGGAACAUCCGAGGACCAGAUCCAAUCAGCAUUGCCAUGAUGGCCAGGUAUGCCCCUUUCACCGAGAGAUGUAUGCCACCCUUGAGUGACCGAACAUCUGGAGCAUGGUUUACUAGGUUUGGAGUAGAGGGACCUAGAAUUUGACAACAUUUGAGGGGCCAGGACCAUAUUUAUCAUGUUUCUUAAUAUGUGUAUGCACCCAGGAGGUCUUACUUUUUGUGCCAACAUCUUGAAUGUUGCUUUUUAUUUAACUUAAACCCUAAACUGUAAAAAUGAUGAUGUGCAAAUUUAAGUGUAGAAAUCACAAUUGCACACUUAUACACGAAGAGUCGCACAUAAUUUUUGUUUGCAACGUUCUGCACUUCACAACAAUUUGGAUGAUUUAGAAAUAAUAAUUUCUCAAACGACCGAGAAUUAGCAAAUCGGUUUGACCAAGUUAAAGUAUUGCAUUCGUGCUCUUUGUUUAAUCAUAGGAGCUUGAUUAACUUAAACUCAUGCACUCACCCUUUUAAUAUCAGUUUUAACCAAUUUAUAGUAAUGCGCCCAUGCUAUGUGUGGCUACGUCUCACCCAAUUAAUAAGCAUGCAUCAACUCACUGUUUGCGUGUUAAUAGCAUUGUCAAAGGAUCUCCAGAGCAACAUAUAUCCAUGCCCAACCUUCAAAUAAUUAGCGGGUACCCACCCACAAGAAUGAUGCGAUUCGCCAUUAAUUGCUACUCACGUUGCAUGUAGACCUACCAUUUGCUGACCAGUUGCCAGUAACUAAAGAUGGUAGAAAAGUCUGAACCGUAAUCAGAUACAGUAGUAAGACCGAGCUUGCUGAAAAAGCUCACACAGAGAACUAGUACUUCUUAUGUUCAAUAAAAGAUGUGUCAAAUUUGACUAAAUUUGAAUGCAUCUAUACACCAAGUUAUGUCUACAUACAUCCAAAUUUUGACAAACUUGAAACAUCUUUUAUUUGAUAGGAGAGUACUGUUGUUCUGGUCGCAUGUGCGGAUGUAGAGUUUGCGAGUAUUCGAAGAAAAAUGGCCUAACGGGCACCUUUCGUGCAGCAAAAUCUAGCGUUUGCGGUGGCGGAUCGAUGUUGAAAAUCCGUAGAGUUGGACUGGAGGAGCGUGGAAGCCUCGAACGAAAACCCCAACUGGACUGGAAACCUUGAAUGCGAUGGAGAUCGUGUCAUGCCGCUCUCACGCAAAGUGACAAAGCUGCCACGCCAUUGCUGCUGUCACGGGAAAGAAGAUAAAAAGUGACACGUGAUCAAUCUCGGCCGGAGGAACGCCAUCUGAAAGAUGUGGACGUCGACCAGCUCGACGAUUCCGAGACGGCAGCUAUAGCUAGCAGCAGAUUUUUGACAAGCGUGGCCGGCAGAUAGGCCGGACAUUACAUGUGCACGCGACAUCACUUCCUAACGGCGACUUGGAUCAAUUACUGAAAACUCAAGGAAGGGAACCGAGCGGCGUAACGUAGAAGAUCCGAGCACGUGCGCUCCGAGGUUCUAGAGGAUCAUGUUUGGUAGUACGUACUACUCUAGGAGCUAAGCUAGUACUAGUAGAACGUCGUACACACAGUGAUUCCGGAGACAAAAAUACGACGUACGAGUGAGACAAAGGCAGAGAACAGCAUUAAGUUUUGGGAACAAGGAGAUUAAUUGGAACCGUCGCUUUGACCCUUUCUUCCGCGCCGCCGCCUCCAGGCUCCAGCACAGCGACUGGCACCAACAUAUGGAGAGCACACGAGUGCGGAAUGAGAAUCUAAAUUUCCUCUAGUCUCGGUGCAUGCUCUGCAACAUUCGCUAUUGAAUCACUGCCCGUUUUUAUUGGAUUCUGAUGAAGCGGUCCAUGUGGGUAACCAAGCCUGUUUUAGUUUCGAGCUUUCCUGGUUGACUAAGGAGGGUUUCUUCGAGCUUGUCGCGUUUGAACAGCGCAGGUUACUCCAGGAGCGAAUGCGAUGGAGAGAUUGCAAAAUCGUAUCCGUCACCUUAGCCAAUUUUUGCGCGGGUGGGCGAAGAACCUCAGCGGGGUUUUCAAGGUAGAGCGGGACCGUUUGCUUCGUUUGGUCGAGGAGUUGGACGUCCUUGUCGAGAACGGUCCCUGUCUAGUGGAGAGUGGGAGGCCAAGCGUCUGGCUGACGAUCAAUUGGCCUCUCCGAGCCGAGUUAUGUCUCAUUGGACGACACUGCGGUCCAUGAUUUUCCUCGAGUCAGUGCGGAGGAGAAUGCUAUUCGUACUACACCUUUCUCAUGAUUUUCCUCGAGCCGUGUUCCAGAUGGAGCAUAAUAAAGCGCCAGGGCCGGACGGGUUCCCUACAGAGUUUUUCCAGCGAUUCUGGGAGGUCACGGCCGGACGGGUUCCCUACAAAGUUUUUCCAGCGAUUCUGGGAGGUUAUCAAAGAGGAUAUGAUGGCCCUAUUUGCCGACUUCCAUGCGGGCAUCCUCCCAAUUUUUAAUAUUAACUUUGGAAUCAUUACUCUCCUUCCGAAGAAGGAGGACGCGUCCCAAAUUCAGCAAUAUCGACCAAUAUGUCUCCUUAAUGUGUGUGUUAAGAUAUUCACGAAGGUGUGUACCAACCAUACUAAUGCGGUCGCUAGCUCGAUUAUUAAGCCCUCCCAAUCUGCCUUCAUGUCAGAUCACCACAUCUUGGAGGGUGUGGUUGUUAUACAUGAGACGGUCCAGGAGUUGUACUCUAAGAAGUUGGAUGGAGUAAUUUUUUAAACUGAUUUUGAGAAAGCUUGGGACAAAGUUAAUUGGUCAUUCCUUCAGCAAGUGCUUUGGAUGAAAGGUUUUGAUGAUAGGUGGUGUGGUUGGAUUGAUGAUGUUGUGAAGGGUGGCAGUGUUGGUGUUAAGGUUAACGACGACAUUGGGCAUUUCUUCCAAACAAAGAAAGGGUUGCGCCAGGGGGAUCCCUUAUCCCCGGUUCUGUUUAACAUUGUUGCUGACAUGUUGGCAGGCCUCAUUGAGCGCGCUAAGGAGAGUGGUCGGUUAACUGGCAUUGUUCCCCAGCUAGUGGAUGGUGGGGUUUCUAUUCUUCAGUAUGCCGACGAUAUUGUCCAUUUUUUAAAUCAUGACAUGGAAGAGGCCAAAUAUCUGAAGUUGCUCCUGUGUGUCUUCGAGCAACUGUCUGGCUUGAAGAUCAACUUCCACAAGAGCGAAAUUUUCUGUUUUGGGCAAGCUAAAAAAUUUGAGGCUCAAUAUAUGCAACUGUUUGGGUGUGGGGUUGGGUCUUUCCCAUUUCGAUAUCUUGGGAUCCCGAUUCACUACCGUAAGUUGUUAAAUAAAGAGUGGAAAUGUGUCGAGGAUCGUUUUGAGAAAAAGCUUAGUAGCUAGAGAGGAAAGCUCCUCUCUAGUGGUGGCCGACUGACCUUGAUUAAUUCUGUUCUCACUAGUCUACCCAUAUUUUUUAUGUCCUUUUUUGAGGUACCAAAGGGAGUUGCGAAGCGAUUAGAUUUUUACCGCUCGCUUCUUUUGGCAAUGCGAUGAACAUAAACGUAAGUAUAGACUGUCUAAGUGGGAUGUCAUUUGUCGGCCCCGGGACCAAGGUGGACUUGGGGUCGAGACCUUGAGGUUAAAAACAUCUACCUGUUGAGCAAAUGGUUGUUUAAAAUUUUGAAUGGAGAAGGGUUGUGGUUGGAGUUGCUUCGUAAUAAGUACCUCUAUGCUAAAACUCUUUCUCAGGUUACAAUGAGGGCAUCGGACUCCCCAUUUUGGAAAGGCCUGUUGCGUGUGCGAGAGUAUUUUUUUUCCUCAUGUGUCGUUCUCUGUCAAUUGUGAUUUGAAAGUAAACUUUUGGGAAGAUAGGUGGUUGGGGUGUGUGGCCCUUAAAGAUCAAUUUCCUUCCCUCUAUCGUAUUGCGACCAACCGACAGGCCUCUGUUGCUGAGGUGUUGAAUGUGACACCUCCGAACAUUGCUUUUAAGAGGGUCAUUGUAGGUACGAGGUUGACGGCUUGGGAGGAGUUAUGUGAUAAACUGGUUUCAGUCCAGCUUGUAAACCGACCAGCACUAGUACAGAAGAGGCUAUCAGUGUAGAAGGGAGAGGGAGCUGGGCUCAGGCUGGUAGAUCGCAAGGAGAGGGAGGGUAGAAGGGAGAGAGAAGGCCGGGGGCAGCUGAGGAGGAGGGGAGCUCGGGCUGGUAUUUGGCGAGGAAAGGGAACAGAGGAGGGAGAUAGAUGGCCAGGUUGGCGGCUGAGGAAGAGAAAGAGAAGUUAGGGUUUGGAUAUUUGGGGUGCCUUGGUGCGUUUUACAUACGCAGCCUGGGCUGGGCCUCACCCAUUAGUGGCGGGUCUCGCAAUAAACCCGACACUAAUGGGUUCUAAAAAAAUUGUUUUCUUCAUUUUUAGCAUGAUAUACAACUAUAUUAUAUAUCUAAAUAGUCUAAAGUUCUAUAAUAAUGGUCUACUUUGUACGAAAAUCAGACAGGUGUAAUUUUGAACCAUAACAAUGGUAUUUGCAUCACAAAAUACUCCAUUUUCGUAUUUACAAAAUAGAAAAAAAAAAUUAAUUUAAUUAAAAAGUUGUAAUAAUCUUUGGCAAUAUUGUUUGGGAUGGCAAAAUGCACCUCCAUGCAAAAAAUGGAUACAUUAUCAUGAACUAUGGAAUAGAAAUGUCACAUUCAUACUUGGUUGUCCAUUUUGUGAAGGAAUUUUUUUGGACAGUUUUAAAAAUUCAAGCUUAUCAUUUUUUCUGGCAACUAGUACCCACAAAAAGACUCCAUGCCAAAGAAUUGACUUUUUUUUUACAUCUUUUUCGUAUUAUUUGACUUUUCUCAAGAUGGGGUGGAAAUUGUCUGCACAUUUUUACAUAGCAAGGUGUUGAAUAUUUCAACAUCCUAUAUGAAUUAUCACACACUUGUAGUUCAAAUUUGAAUUACUUUUGGGAAAUAGCUAUAAAAACCAUUUAAAGGAAAAAAGAGUAGUUAUAAAGCUAGAAAGCUCAAAACCUUUGGACACUAGCAAUUAAAUAUGGUCUACUUCGUGUGAAAAUUGGAUAUGUUCCAUUUCCAACCAUAAAAAUUGUACUUGCUUCUCAAAAUACACCAAUUUUUGCAUUUAGAAAAUGUAAAAUUAUUUAUUGAUAACAUAAGGUUGUAAUAUUAUUUGGCAAUAUUGUUUGUAAUGGGUAGAUCUAAUUUUUUUCUAAUUUUUUAUGAAUCAGUUAUGAAUUUUCCAAAUUUAAGCGAUUUUCGGGGGAGUCAUCAGUGGCAGGUUUUAUCUUGGACCCGCCACUGAUAGGAGGGGCAUCGGUGGUGGGUUUUCAAUGUAAAAACCGCCGCUGAUGGCGUGGCCACUGAUAGGAGGUCAUGAGUGGGCGGGUUUUAGAAAAACCGUCACUGAUGGUUGAUUUUUACGUUUUUCGGGUUCCACGAGGAAGCCAUGAGUGGCAGGUUUAUUUGGCCCGCCACUAAUGGGGGGUUAUCAGUGGCAUCGCAUAUAGCAUGUUUUGUAGUAGUGCAGAUUCAUUCUCUUGGGUGUUGUCUACAUCCGAGCUUUUUUCCGUGAAAUCCCUUUAUCAGGUCCUUGAUUCCCCUGAAAAUAAAGAUUUUUGCAUGGCUCCUUUGUCGUGGUGUUGUGCUUACUAAAGAUAACUUGGCCAAAAGAAACUGGCAUGGUUGCGAAAAAUGUGUUUUUUGUGAUCAAGACGAGACAAUACACCACUUGUUUUUGAGUGUCUGAUGGCGCAUUUAGUUUGGGGAACUGUCUUUGUGACUUUUAAUCUCCCAACCCCCUCUUGUAUCGCGAACAUGUUUUGACGCUGGCUUAAUGGGAUGAGAAAAUCUCUUAAAUCGCUCAUACUUGUUGGUUCUUGUGCGAUUUUUUGGUCCAUUUGGAAUUGUCGUAAUGAUUUGGUGUUUAACAAAAAGAAAGCUUUCAAUUUCUUGCAGAUUAUUUUUCGAGCAACACACUGGCUCCGUACCUGGUCCCUACUGCUUCCGAUGGUGGCAGGGAGACUAUAGAAUUUGGGUGCAGCCGUAUGGAGAUGGUAACACAAGAGUUUUACAGCUAGUUUGGGUGGUGCGCCGGGCUAAUUUCUUGGUCUCUUGUUUUAUUUUUGAGAUGUAACUUUGGAUGAUGAUAUUGUACUGAACUUCAAUAAUAUGAUGGCUUUUUUUUAGAGAGAUGGCUGUGUGCAUUGAUUGAUGCAGAGCCCCGGGGUUUCCCUCAUUUUCGAAAAAAAAAAGUGAAAGUGCACAUUUUGUCCCUAGGAAAACAGGGUGGCCCAUUCGAUUUGAGCCCGAGAACCCAUCUCUUUCUUUGGCUCAGUGCCUCAUCUCGUUUGUCCCUCCAUUCGCUUGUCUCCCUCGAGAACAAAUCUCUCGAAGCCUUGCUCUCUCAGGGCUCUAGCAGCAAGGAAACCCCAGUCUGACGAUUCACCGACGGCAUUGAGCACCGGCUUUGUCUUCUUGUCCCUGGUUACCUAUCAACUUGGCCUCUCCAAUAGAUUUCGUCCAUCGCACACUUGUGACGAGGGGUGCUGGUAUUUUCCAUUGGUGUCGAUGCAUUCUGUUCUUGAAUUGGCUGGCUUCACACUGUGAAAUAGCUGUUGAUCAGUACUUGCACUGAGUUACAUCACUAAGUUGAUAGAACUUGUAUCCAUUUUCCUGAACAACUUGAUCCGCCAAAGCGCCAGCACUAAGUCUCUUCUAAAGGGUUCAAUACUCGGCAAGUGGAGUUGGUUCUAGAGAAAUAAGUACACACAAGGAAUGGAAAAAAGAUCAAUGCACCAGUGUCUCAAUGAAACAUUCUUAUAAGGAGCCGAAGAUCGGCAGAAGAACAAGUCCUAACUAAGCAGUACAAACCAAAAUAUGACAUGUCAAUAUACUACUCCUACUAUAUAUAAAAUUUAAGUUGGACUGCAAAAGCUCUAUUUGGGCUGUCUUCUCCCUCUCAAUCCACACGGAUCUAGAAACUCACACUUAGGCUCCAUCUACCUUUGCUUUCGAUCAGGCGUCAGUGCCCCUCACGGCCAGCCAUAUCGGGUGGGAAGGAGGACCCGUUUAUAUUUUCUUUUAAAUUUAAUUAAACACACCCGAAUAAAUCAAAAGGCUGUUAGAAACAACCUGCGAUUCUCCUGGAGCUUGAGAACCAUCGGCCGUCCGCAUCAACGAGAUUUGGCAAUUCCACAUAGCCGUCGUAGCAUACGUACCCUUCCACCGAUGGAUGAUGGAUCCGACUCCGGGCGCCGCCGCCGGCCGUCACGACGACCGCCAUCCACUCCAACCUGGACCUAGAGUCUGCGAGUUCCCUGAUGCGCCGGGCCGCCGGCGCCGCCUGAGCACAAAUCAGCAUCCACCAUCGACUGGUAAUGGGGACGUGUACGACCAUUCCAUCGACAUCCAAACAGCGGAAUUCGGGAUACCAAUUCCCAAUUCCCAAUUCCUACCUCCAAUAUCUACGUCCAAACGGGGUGUUACAGAGAGUAGUACAGCUUCGUGGCAUAACAGCGGCCACGCCUAUUUCCUCCACCAAGCUGCAGGCAAAGAAUCCUCUAGCUCUUCACAUCAGGCAAGUAAUUUUGUUUUGUUAAUUUCGGUGAUACUGAUACAUGUGGUGAUGGUAAUCGUAUCUAGCAGCAGAACAUUGUUUUGUUAAUUUCCUGAUCGAUGGUUUUUUUAUUUUUGCCUACCAGGUUGUUAAUUCUUCAGAACAAAUCCAUCUGUCAGGUAACAAGCGCACGCCACUGAAGAUCUUCAUCCUGCAGAGGCCGCCGCCGACGGCACACGACGCACAGUACGCGCUUGAUGCAUGGAUGUUAGCAGAUGGAUUCUAGCAGACCCCGCGUCUGGUUCAUUGAGGUUUGGAGAUUUGAUCAAAUUUUCCAGUUGUACAUCGACAUGGGAGUGCAUGUCAAACAAAGUGAACACAAACAACUGCAUAUACCUCUUAAUCAUGCAACUAUAUUGGCCAUAGCGAGUGGAUAUUUGAUUACUUUAUUUGCCAUAAUUUUCACCAGCAAUAAGCAUAGUACUAAUUGGUUCAAUCAAUUGCUACACGAUACUGAACCAAUCAUGUGGUAACUUCCACCGUUUGAUUAUUCUUAUAUAUGUACUAAGAAUCAUUGUUUAAUUAAGAGUAAAAUACACCAUUAGUCCAUAAAUCCGACAAAAAUAAACACUUUAGUCCAUUAACUCGAAAAACGCACACUUAAACCUCUAAACUGGGACUACUGUGUCAUUUUAGUCCAAAAAUUGUUCAGCAAGCUCGAUAUAACACGUCAAUGUAUUGUUCUCUCCGACAGUGUCGGAGAUUUAAUACAUAAUUAAAAAUUAAGUUGGACAACAAAAAGCUCACUUUAGACUGUCUUUUGGACGUGGCGAAAUUACCGGCGCCGGUAUAUACCGGUGCGGUCUGGUCCACUGGUUCCGUUGAGAUCCACCGCGAUUCCCCAUGUGAGCUCUGGCCGGUGCCGUUCCCCAGCGAGGAUGGGCGGGAACGGGCGGUCGAUACGGCGCCCGGUAAAGAAAUAUCACGUUGUCUUCUCCCUUCAACCCACACACAGAUCUAGAAACUCACACUUGGACCUAUUUUUUAGGCUCAAGAUGUAGGGAUAUAUAGGCCCGUAGGCCCGUGGGAAAACCUCAGAGUGGUGGAAACAGAUUUGCAGUAUUAUUCACAUUUAGACAAGGUUUAUACAUCACGCAACUAGAAAUCUGAGGAAGACUGUCUUGUCUAUUUCGGUGGAAACGGAAGCUUCGUAAUCGCCUAACAAGUACACUCGCCCACGUAGCCGCCCGCCUUGCACUGUCUCUGCUGGAUAAGGACCCGAGAGGGAUAAGUCCACUGAUUGAGCAAAACGAGCCCACCCUCAUCUUGAAGACUAAACCAGGACAAACGAUCCCGAACUAUUCCAAGUUCAAUUCUGAGUAGUAGUUUAUAAAUACCAAUAAAGCAAUAGGGAACUUCACAAGAAGUGCUUCCUCCAUCAGAGCUACUAAAGCUAUCAACAUGGCAGACCUAUUGCACAAGCUCAUGCAAGAAACACCCCAGCCACCAGCAUGACUUCUGAUGCUCCUCCUAUUCCCCCUCUCCCUCUUCGUUCUCCACUACGUGUUAACCGCGAAGACAAGAAGAAUAAAGCAGCAGCAGCAGCAGCAGCAGCAGCAGCAGGGCAACAACAGCGUCGACGUCCGGCCGCCUCCUUCGCCGCCGGCGCUGCCCAUCAUCGGCCACCUGCACCUGAUGGGAUCGCUCCCGCACGUCUGGCUCGGCAGCCUGGCCAGGAAGUACGGGCCCGACGUGAUGCUCCUCCGCCUGGGCACCGUGCCGACACUCGUUGUGUCGUCGCCGCGGGCGGCCGAGGCGGUGCUGCGCACGCACGACCACGUCUUCGCAUCGCGGCCAAGCACCGUGGUCGCCGACAUCAUCAUGUAUGGCUCCUCCGAUAUCGCCUUUGCGCCCUACGGCGAGUACUGGCGGCAGGCUAGGAAGCUCGUUGCCACCCACCUGUUGAGUGCGAAGAAGGUGCAGUCUUCCCGCGGUGCUGCCGCCGACGAGGUAUGUUUUUUAUAUUGAUUGGGAAAAUUAAUUAAAUUUGACCAAACAUGCAUGCAUUCGAUCCGAAGGGGAGACAAAUGAUGUAGUACAGUGUUUAGCACUGAUUCAAUUCCUCCUAUUUAGAUGUUCUAACCUUGUCCUAUGUCAAAUUUGUUAAAGUUUAUAGAAAAGUCUACUGAUAUCUACAACACGAAAUAAAUAUACUACUUCGUACUAUUUUAGAUUAACAUAGUUGCUGAAAUGCAGGUGAGCAUGGUUAUGUCCAAGAUCAGUGAGACAGCCGCCGCAGACCGUGCGGUGGACAUGAGCGAGCUGCUCUACACGUUCGCGAACGAUAUGGCAUGCCGUCUUGUCUCAGGUAAAUUCUUCCAGCAAGAAGGACGUAGCAAGAUAUUUCGAGACCUCAUCGGUGAUAGCUCACAGCUGCUAGGAGGGUUCAACAUGGAAGAAUACUUCCCAGCACUAUCUAGGGUAGGCCUACUUAGAAGGGCAGUUUGUGCCAAGGUCGAGAGAGUAAGGAAUAGAUGGGCUGAUCUGCUAGACAAGGUGAUAGAUGAUCAUAUGAACAAGGACAAGUCAAUGUUUGAUCAAAAAGAUGGAGAUUUCGUAGACACUUUGUUGUCCGUUCAACAUGAGUAUGAUCUCACAAGGGAACACAUGAAAGCUCUCCUUACCGUAAGUAUAAUUAUUAUCCCUGCAAACAAAUAUAAUAUAUAUUUCCUGAUAUCUUACAUGCAUCUUCCUAAAUAAUGAAUAUCUACUGCAGGAUAUGUUUUUCGGGGCAACAGACACAUCAUCGCAAACCCUCGAAUACACCUUGGCCGAGCUCAUGAGGAGGCCACACUUAAUGAGGAAACUGCAAGCCGAGGUGAGGAGUGCCGUGCCCCAAGGACGAGAAAUCAUCAAUGAAGUCGACCUUAGUAACAUGGCAUACCUCAGUGCUGUCAUAAAAGAGACGCUUCGAUUGCAUCCUCUAGCUCUCUUCUUGCUCCGCAUCACACCAUGGACGACUGCAACAUCGACGGAUAUAUGGUCCCUGCUGGGACACGUGUCUUUGUCAAUGUAUGGGCAAUUGGUAGGGACUCUAAAACCUGGGAGAAUGCGGAAGAGUACGUGCCUGAAAGGUUUAUAGAUGAUGCACAUGUCAACUUCAAGGGGAAUGAUUUUCAGUUCUUGCCAUUUGGGGCAGGAAGAAGGAUCUGCCCUGGGAUAAACCUCGCAAUUGCCAAUGUCGAGCUCAUGCUAGCUAACCUUAUGUAUCAUUUUGAUUGGGAGCUGCCCCUAGGGGUUGAGAGCAAGGAUAUUGAUAUGACAGAGAUAUUUGGGCUCACGGUGCGCCGCAAGGAAAAGCUACUCUUAAUUCCCAAAUUACGUGUGUAGCACAAUAUGCAUCUUAAGAUGCCUUGCUACGGGAAGCGAUCCACAUGGUGCUACUGAUAUACUGGGUGCUUUUGAUAUAUAGUUGCUAAUAAACCGUUGCCGACUUUUAGUUGUUUUAAUCGACUUCUACAAGUGUUUAGGUAUCAAAAUUGAGCCGACUUGAUGUAUAACCCACCACCUGGGUUUGAAUCUUUAUGAAUGCAAAACUAGAUUUUCUAUAUACAUUGUCGGAAUUUUUCCUAUGUAUAAUUUCCUUUUAGAAAACACACUUUAUUUGUUACCAACUAAUUUUUUGUAACAAAAAAAGUCUGCUAGCUAGUCCAUAUACGAAAACAAGGUUCAUCUCCUCAAUGAAGAUAAGUCGGCAUCUAUACAAUGAUGGCUAGGCAUUAUUAAAGAUAAAGUCAUUGCGCGUCUUCCAAAUGCUCCAACAUACCAAUGUGGAAAAAUUUCAUGGAGAAUUGGCACCUUAAGCAUUUUCUUGAUCUCUGUCAUGGUCUGAUGAAUAUUGCCUCUGGGGGUGAACUCUCGGCAAAGGUAUCACCAACAAGCAAGUGCAAAUGGACACUGGAAAAAGAGAUGAUUUCUAGUUUCCAUGAGGUUUUGCUGACAGAGAACACAUGAUGUGAAGGGAGAUGGAAGUUCUUUCUCCUCAGCAUGGCUCUGGUGUUCAACCUAUCCAUGAGGAGGAGCCAGCAGAAGAAUUUGUGCUUGAACUGGCAACAGGAUUCUCAAUUCCAUUUCAUUGGUGCAGGUAACUCAAUAUGCUCAAUCAGCACAGAGUAAAGUUUAGCUGCAAAAGGCCAUCCUUGGCUCCAGCAGUGCACCAGCAGUCAUGUCCAUGAUCAAUGUCAAGCUGGUCCAUAGAUAAGUUCAUCUCCUGGAACUGAUGGAAUGCCUCCAAAGAGAGUGGCAGGUGAAAAAAAGAGUGAUUAUGUCAGGAUUACCAUGAAUCUCUGCAACGGUCAUUUUGAAAGCAAUGGCCUAGGAAUAUUGGGCCUAGUCUUGGGAUAUGUUUUUCAAAAUCCAUUGUUUUGGCCAAGUGUAGGUAUUUGUUAUGUCCUAUACUGCGCCAAAUAAGGAGGUAUUUGUAAUAGAUGCCAGACAUGAGACUACGUCAUGUCAGGCAACGGUUCCCUGGGCUGGUCGUCCUGGGGAGCCGCGCCAUUCCGCGUCAACGUCGAGUGAUUUUCUCGCUAGGGUAAGUGCGUUGCGCAUCCAUACUCGUUGUUAGCGCGCGUUCUGCGCGGCGAUACAUAUCCUCCCUCGUUUUGAAUUCCUGGUCCCACCAGUCACCUCCUAUACAUGUAAAUAAACUACAGAAAAACAAGACAUGCACAAAAAGUAUUAAAGCUAAUUUAAAUUCUAAAUGAAUUUGACGCGAAUAGCAUCGGUUUAAAACUAGUUUAAAUUUUUACCCGUCGGAUUUGGAACCUAUUCCACCAGCGGGUCACUAUGGUCAAAGGAAAACAUUCUUAAGUUGGGGUCAACGUCAACUGUCGGACGGAAGAUGGUCGAUGUUGAUCAUCGAAACAAUGAAAUUGAUGUUGUUGGAGCUCCGGUCAUCAGUUGGUGAAUCUGUCUCCUGUUCUAGGCUACUGGAGAUGAAUAUAAUUGAGUGACACAAAUGGAACAAGAACAGAGUAUAAAAUGGGGAUUACAUGGUUUGGCAAACGUGUGUAACUUCAACAAUUGAAUAGAAAAUAAUGUUAAUGACGUAGGCUCGGUAGAGAUGACUUUAGGGGUGCAAGGAGUUUGGCGGAAACUCACUGACGGUGCGGAAUCGUGAGGCAAAGGCAGCGGCUGAACUUGAUGGGCCAUAUUUGUUUAGACUUCUGCUUCAGCUUUUGGUGCUUUUAGCAAUCUCAAAAAUAUUUCUCCUGUUUACACAUGAAGCUGAGAAGCACCUCCGGACGUGCUUUUGCUGCUUCUAACUGAGAAGAUGUAUACAUAGAAGUUUUGUUGUGAACUUAAUGAAGAUGGAAACAUAUAAUUUCCAUGUUAAUAAAAACAACGAACCAAACCGGUACCCAAGUUCAAUCCGAGACAAAUGGAGGAGGCCUAAGCCGCGACCCUAUUUUCGUACAAGCUAAUGAUGCGCCUAAUAAACCGGUCGACUGAUGCAUACCAUUUAUACUCUCGUGUCAUGUCAUUGUUGUUUUUAUGCAUAUGUAUUGUUGUGUGUAUUGUCUCUUAUUGCAUCUUCUGUAUCUCUCUGCAGCCGAGACGAUAGCACCCGCAGGAGCCCCGGCUGGACCAAGCCCGACCCCCACGGGGGGGGGGGGGGGGGGAUUCAGGCGGUGCCCCCGCACGGGGCCGCACAUUCCAGUGUGGAAAGAUGGUGUUGGAACCCUAAAUUGUAUUCCACGAUAUUCGAUGCUGUAAUGAUUUGACCUUCAAAUGCGUAUAUAUAGAGUACAAAGGGGGAGUGCCCCCCACCCCCUAGAUUUUUUUUAGAGGGCCCCCACCCCUGGAUAUGUAUACGCCUAUAGCAUAGUAAUGGGUUGGCCCAAAGUAAAAUUUCCAGUCUGCGAUGGUUUCCUAACGUGAUCAAGAUCGUUUCUCCUCGUCCCAUCGGUAAUGAUCCUCUCCAAAUCAUUUUCUCCUCAUCGAGAUCGCCAUGUCGCCGCCUGAUCACUAGGCCUGCUGAUCGCUGAGACACUCAGGCCUCAGCCAGCCAUGCCCCUGCACCCCAUCUGUGCCUCUCUCGAGGCGGGUCGGCCUGAGCCCUGCACUGCGCCUUACGCCUCAGCCCGAGCCACCGGUACAAGGCAUGAGAAUCUUUACCCGGCUAUCUUUUAUAUAAUUCCUCAAAAGAUUUGUGUCAAAUCACUUAUUUCCGGACGGAUGGAGUAUCUCUAAUUCUUUAUGAUAGUGUGAAAUCAUAUGUGAUGUGUAACAUUGGCAAGUGUUUAGUGAAACAUUGAUGUGUAUAGUUUGGGUAAUAUUGAUACUUAUGUGAUGAGAUGUAUCUUGUUUGAACUUAGUGCUUUGCUAGUGGUGUGUUGAUCCAUUAGUUUCUUAUGUGAAACAUGGCGUGAGUUGUGUGGAACUUACCUUAAGUCAAGUCGUGGACUUGUGCUCGUACUGGUUAAUUGUGUGUUCGCUUUCAGGUGUUGCCGGAGUUAGAGGAACGUGGUCGAUGACAGGAUCGAGGGACAAAGCUUGGGAGAAGUUGAGGUCAAGGGAUCAAGGUCAUGCGGGACGUUCGUGCGAAGAAACAAUGAAAGUGAAGGCUACGAUGAUCCGGUAGGGCACCGGUUUGUCGUACGUUGUUUAUACCGGAGAUGUACGGUAUUGGAGAUAUUUGACACGUGAUGGUCGAGUUUUAAAGACAUCACAAGAAGAGUUGAUUGCAUGGAGUGGCAUCGACGUGAAAACACGUAGGUUCAGCCGUGGCAAUGCAAGGGAAAAGAACUGAUAAGAAAGGAUAACAGGGCGUUGAAUCAUCAGUUUCUUUUUUACUUUAAUGCUGCUUCCAAAUUCCUGAAUUAUGUUUGUUCCAGUACUACUUUUUCUGCGCCUUGUCGUCACUUCAAAAUGACUUGAUAGUUGAGAUUAAGCAUGUACUCCUAUCUGGGAAUGCAUUUUGGUUGCCAGAAUGCUGGACAAAACAGUUGCGGGCAACAUUUUAGUUACUUAUUUCGUCAUCAAUAGCUGAUUCUACAGUGUUCCUCAAUUAGCAUAUAGCGUCGUUCAGGGCUGUUCCUGUAAGUGUCUUAAAGGCACAUGGCCUUAUGUAAUUCACCCAUUUUAUGCGUUUCUUAAGCUGACAAUAGGUUUAUGAUGUCUCUUCGAGUCUUUUGCAAGAACUCUUUGUAAGAUCAACAUAAAAUGGGCUGUAGGGUCUUCAUGGUGUCUCAGCAAAAGUAUAUAUUAAACAAAAGUAGCAACAGAGCAACAUAUCAGUAAUUAUAAUAAGUUACACUGUAGCAACCCAGUUCGACUGUUUCAGGUCAAGACCGCAUGCAACGACAAUGGAAAUAGAAAUAUGCCUUACUAAGUUACAAGCACUUCAGGGCAGAAAGCCAUAGUGCCGUUUUCCAUCUUUCUCUUCUGGCAUCAUGAAAAAUGUCAUCAUCAGGUACAACGAAAGAAAGAAAUAAAGGGAGGAAAACCAUGGUUGCCGUCAUCAUCAUCUAAUUAAAACUAAGAUCCGAAGCCAGAGGGUAAGAUGUGUUCCCAGAGAUAGUCUACACCUACAAUUUCCUCUUUUUUCGAGUCCGAGCACUCCUCCAAGAGCUGAGAGCAGACGAGGAUGAACCUCCACGCCUUAGGAUUUUUGGUUUCCUUCCUUUCCGCUUGCCCGUGUAGCAGGGCUUCAAAAUCCCCUGGAGACCAAACCUGGUUGUGCCAUCUUCCGGUGGUUCUUCUUUUUUCACAAUUGCUACUGUGGGGGCAGCGAUGCUCUCAUCCUCAGAAUGUGCCCCGGUUUCUCUCUUGACUACCCCUGCUUCACUCUUGACUGACACCCGCAGACGCUUGCACGGAUGACUGAUUACCUCAAAGUUUUGAUACCCUUCCUCAGCUGGUUGAUUGUCGAUCAAUACAUCUUCCGAACUCUGUAAGAAAAGGAAGAAGAAAAUAGUAAGGAAAUAGCAGAACUAGUAUCCAGCAAAUCAUGUUACUAUGUUUGGGCGCAUGUGUCAUCAACAUUUAACCUUUGCUCAAAAGAUUUACCAAUUUGGAAUAUAUGCCACUUCUAAAUGUCAAGUUAGUUAGGCCUGUCUUAAGCAUAUAUAUAGAAUCCGUAACGAAAGAGAAGCCACCCAGAAACAUGGUGUUGGAGAGUUUUUGUUCUUGAGUAAGUGGCACGAGUUGAAGCUCAAGCUCCUUCAAAUAAGUCAGAAAAUUCUUAAUUAAUUUGUUAUGAUGAAAUAAACAAGUUGUACUAGCUUACCUGUUGUAAUUCACCCAUUUUAUGUGGAUCUUCAGCUGAUAAUAGGUUCAUGGUGCUCUCAAAAAUAUCCAUAUUGUUAGCUUCUCCAAAGCUUGAGACAGCACUGUCUGGCAUGUCAGUAUCAUCCAUAUCACAAUCUGAUGCGUCCUGGGGUGAGAUUUCAAGCAUUUCAGCAACUUUUCCUUUUCCAUGUGCGCAAUUAGAGCUCUGUGCAACAUUGACCCGUGUGUUGACUUUAAGAUCUAUUCCGUUACUCUUCUUGUCGAUUUCUGUCUUGAGGUAUGAUCUCAGACUAAGGACUCUGUCUUGAACAGACUGAAUGCUUGCAAGAAUCUGCUCAACAGUAGCAUCACUUCCAUUACCCAGUAGCCAGUCAGCAUCAUUGUUACCUUUUGUGCUGUCAUCCGCUGAAAGGACAGAAAAAAUCUUUUGUUAAUUCAUCUGUAACAUGUAAAUAAAUAAAAUAUAUUAAUUCCAAGAAUUAAAAUAUCGGUCCCUAUAUGUAUGGUACUCCCUCUAUUCAAAAUGUAGGGCAUAUGACUUUUGUUCACUGUAAAACUUUCUAAAGUAUAACAAAAAAAUGUCAACAUCUACGGUACAAAAUGAAGAUCAUUAGAUCCAUUCUGAAAUAUAUUUUCAUAGUAUCUUGGUUUGAUACUUUUUGUUAUAAGCUUGGUCAAGUUUAGAAAGUUUGACAGUCUAUAAAAGUUAUACAUCCUAUAUUUUGGAAGGGAGGGAGUAUAUUAUUAAACUGAGGUUAACACGUAAGCAUGAGAAUAAGUUUACAAAUUGAGUCAAAAGAACUAGUGUGAUGCAAUUAUUAUUGUAAGCAAGAAAUGAGUUCCAUCCUUGAUAAAAGAAAAGCAUCCAACAGUGUCUUUUUGCUCUACAAGUAAUGCAAGACUAUUAAUUUUGUGAAUGAAAACAACGGAGAGGAAUCCAAAAAAUACAACAAAAGGGAGGUGAAUAUGCAUAAUGCAUGACCACUGUACAUGUUUGGGAGAACAUAUUGUGUGUUAUACAUGAAGACAACAUUACCUAAGAUUCCAUUGUCGUCAAUAGAAUGGCCAUCCGCUUCCGCUUUCUCUUUCUCUGCAUGAUGAUUGUAAAGAACUAUAACCAUGGCAAUUUGUAAUUCUAUAUGUAAAGUAGAACAUGAUGUUUACCAUAAUAAGACAAUAUGGUGUGGGUCGCGAUGUAUGAGGACGCAUUCAUUUUCUCCUCAGUUCUCUUUCUCCUCCUCCUCUUCAUAGUCUUCCUGCAACAAAGAGAAGAGAAGGGCACUGAUCUCGAUGACGAACAGUCCAACUCGAUCAUUUUUGUUUGCAACUCUUUCUCAUGUUUAAGAACUGCAAGCUCCCUGUCAUAUCUGGAUACUUGAGAGUGCAACUCCUUCAUCCGCAGUUCUAACCAUUGGCAUCUCCACAUUAAUGGGCUGAUAUACGUUCUCCAAUGAUCAGUUACCUUUUUCUUCCUGUUACAGAUGAUAAAUUGUGUUAAACAUUCGUGUGCUUUGUGACUUGCCUUCUUGGAAACAGUAUGAAACACAUAAAUAGUAAAAACACAGACAUAACAACACAUAUCAGCUAUUUGGAAUCCAAGGAACUACUCCAGUUCUACAAACAAAAACUGACUGUCAUAUUCCGUAUCUAAAGUACAGGUAUCAUGCUGCCAUGACUAGAGAUCCGAUUUUUUAUGUGGCCUUCAGUUGAUCGACAAUGGUUUGCAGAAGGCAUCAGCUUUAAAAAAUUGUGCCUAUUUAAAGCAAAUAUCACAAACUAGAGGCAGCAUGUGCAUAAGUUGGACAGAAGACUGAACAUAUCGCUGAUAUUAUUAAGUACCACUUUCAGGAAUCAAUGACAUCAGACCCUAGAUAUGCUUCUUUGUCACUAAGAAUUCUCACCUAUAACAGGUAUCAAAAUAUACAGUAUAUAUGUAACACCUGGCCCAUUUAGCAGUGUGGCACAUACAGAGUAGCAGGUGUGGGAUUGCCCACAUUGGAACUCUAACGUGAGUUGUACUAACGUAAAAUUCUUGGGUCAAAAGCAGCACCCACAGAUUAACCCUCUUACAAAAAGAGGAGACGGACGUGCAAGAGGGGUGCUGUGUGAAUGGACUCGUCCCUUGGGGAGGGGUUGAGCACAAAGAGGAUGGGUGAAGUCUCAAAACUGGUAAAAAAGGAGUUUAAUAAAGGAAAUAGUCCUUUUAGAAGGGAAACAAAGGUCAUGUAAUUAUAACAGCAAAUAUAUCCACAUGCAGCUGCAUACAGACUUCGACGCCAAAUUCAUCUUGUUCAUGGACUUUCCAUCUUUCUGGAACUCAUCAGAGAUAUGAGCUAGACUACAUCAAAAUUAUCAUGUAAAUCACAUGCGAACAGUAAGUUCCCACAGGCCAUGCACUUCCGAUAAUUUUGGAACUCAAUAGAAGUCUGCACAUUGUAAUACUGUUCUUCAGCAGCCUCUGCCUAAUUAUUAUGCCUUUAUUCAUAAGUAUUUUAUCAAAAUUCUCAUUGACUAGUACGUUUCUACAUGAAGCUCUUUUAUAAACUGUAUAAAUACAAACAAUUGUGUGGCAUAUGAAAUACAAAAAAAUCAUUUCUCACAUUACCCAUUUGAGGUAGGCAAUAUUCUUUUGACUAAUCUUCAAAGGGAACAAAACCUUUCACGUAAGAAUGAUUCUGUAAUGGAAACGUUAUACGUGCGACUUUGGUUUUGCCAGAAUUUUAAUUCUGUUCCAGUGACACAAGAUGAUAACCGACUGAUCCAAGGACAAAUUGACAUUUAUAUAAAGGCAGAACAACAAGGCUGAGAAGUAAUAAAUUACACAAACAACUUACUUCAGUGAUCUAUCCAAAUUGUCAGCAGCAGCAGUAUCCAAGAGUGCAGCAGCAUCACCAUUAGGAUGAUAGCGGCAGAAUGGUGAGUCCACUUCAAUGUCACUAAUCUCUGAAGGCCUUGCAUCAUCCUCUGAUCCAGACAAUGUAUCCCCAAAGGAACUUGAGCACUCUGUGGCAUCAGGGUCUUCAAUUUUGGCCAAUUUGCUGGACGGGCCACCACCAUCUGGGCCAAUAAUGUCAACGUUCCAAUCUACUACUCCAUUCACAUCCUCCAUUUUAAGGUUGACCUUGGCCUCUGUAUAUUCUGAAGUUUAAGAAAAGAGAAGAACUUUCAACAAAAACUCAUGAUUAUUCGGACACAAAGUAAGCAUGGGGAAUACAAAAUAUUAGUAGACAUGGUUAUCAACAAUGGUAACUUUAAGUCAAAACAAUUUAAUGAUCUUUUUUUGAGCCAUCCUAUAGUGAUAUGGACUCUGGGACUAAGUUGCAUGAUACAGCGACGGACACGGGGAUAAGGGAAAAUGGCGGGUAUUUUCUAAUAACAGCAAUACGGGGAUACAGCGAGCAUAUAAGUGUUUUGAAAAAAAACAGCAUAUAAUAAAGAUAAUCAUAAUUUUGGAUGAGGGAGAAAGAGAUUCUUGCAUUUGCUGCCUCCUUUUCAUUGAUAAAUAUUUUUUAGCUCCCAACCUCAUGUCCUCAUUCCUCAAGUCCUCAUAACCUCUCCAGUACUGAUACGUGUGCGUGUAUCGGUAUCGGACAGAUACGGGGAUAAGCCGAUUUUUCAAAAUGCAGAAGCGGAUAUGUUUGAGUACUUUUUUAAAAAUUAUAUGAACAUGAAAUUUUGAAAAUGAUCAAAUGAAGUUCAAGUGCAGCAAUGCAUACAAGCACAACAUAACAAAGUAGCAAACAGGUCUAAAACAAAAAUAAAAUUAAUAUGAACAUGAAAUUGUGACAUGAUCAAACGAAGUUCAAGUUCAGCAAUGCAUACAAGCACAACAUAGCAAAGGAGUAAACAGGUCUACUUAAGUACUUAACUACGUAUACUGUUAUACAACAUAGAAAAUUUAAUUAGGACAUCAGUUUUGAGCUUCAGCUUCAUCUUCCACGACAACAGUAGCUUCCUCCACUUCUCCAAAUGACAAACUCUGCAACUCUGGUUAAUCAAGAGAGAGAUUUGCAACUUCCAGGAUGCUAACACCAAUUAGAAUGUCAAAACUAUCUGCUCCCGCAUCCCACAUUCUUGUUGCCCCGCUUGAUAGAGGAACCGAGGUUAGAAAGUGAGAAGAGAACUGAGAAGAAUGGGAGGGAAGAAGCCAGCUCACCGUUCUUAAAAAAAAAACAAUGGGCGCUCCCCAUUGAUUUCCCAUAAAGAAACCGCCAACAAUGUCUUACAACAGUUUUGCUGAACAAAGCCAGCUCACCGUGGCCAGGACAAAUGGAGAUCUCGCCGCCUCGCUUGCGCCGGCGCCACCGCAAGCUUGCCGUUUGCUCCUGCUGGUCACAGCCACCACGAACUAAGGCAGAGGAGGCUGGGGCAUGGGGACGGGCAGUGGCCAGUGCCUCACUAGUAUUAGUGAUGAGAGAUAGGGUUUCUAAAUGGGCCGGGCUGUAUCCUUAGUCCCCCAGAUGAAUCCACCGAGUUUCCAUCGUAUAUAUCUUUAUUUUUUUUGUUUAUUCGACCGAUAUUCCUGGGAUACGUACUGAGGUGUAUCAGAUACGGGUACGCAGCCUAAGUGAAGUAUGAGGUAAGUGUCCAAUACAUAUCCCUAUUGCCUGUGUAUAGUCUAGCAUUGCAUAUUGGGCUUUUAGAAGGGCUUUGAAUAAGGGGUAUUGGUCAGGACGUGUUCCCAGCCGUAUCAGGUCAGUGUCCACUACAUGUUCCUAUUAAAUUUAAUUAUUUUUAAUAAAAAGGAUGGGAUACUUGGGGGGCACACGCUUCCCCAUAUCUACAGACACUUCUCGAGUGUCCAUGCUUCUUAGCUCUGGGAGCACCAAGGUUUCUUUUUUGGCACACAACAACCCAAAUAAUGUGUGCAUAUUGUAAUUAGUUGCCAAGACAGUUCCAUAUGAUUCCAAAGAUGGCUAAAAUGCCUAUGCGCAGAAAUAAUACGAUGCAUCAGAAUAGUUCCAUAUUGAAACCUAAGUCAUCCCCAAACUGUGGUUCAAGUCAGUAACCAAUAAGUCACGUAUUGAAAAUGUGAUUAGCAGUUAUCUUUGUCACAAGAGAAAAAUAACAUAAACAAGCAAGUAAUCAGUAUGCUUACUCAAUCAGUAAUGUAUUGAAAAUGUGACUAGCAGUUACCUUUGUCACAAAAGAAAAUAACACAGGUAGGCGCUUAUUGAACAAUCACAAAGGCCUGCCUUAAAAAAAAUCGAAGGGCGUUGCAAACAAUUAUACACCAUCAUUACAGUAAUUAUUUACUUCAUUCUUGAUACAGUGGUAGUGUGCACACUCAUGCCAUCUAAAUAUGGGCUAGUGUGCAUGUGCAUGAGAAGGGGCAUCGGUGUAUGCGAUUAUACUGUUGAAACUAUUGUCUACAUUAGAUGGUGUGAUUAUAGACUAGUCAUGAACUUCCAACAUUUUCGGCAAGUUAAAAAAAGAUUCCCAAUCUCCUAGAUUUUUGUCAGUGUUUACUAUUCCCCCUUGCUCAAUUGAGGUGAUUAACAUCAUUGGCAACUGAUAGUCAUCACAUACUUAUUGAUAGUUAGUACGUGCAUUUGCGGAAAACUCAACCAUUUGUUUGCUCGAAUUAGUGAAUUGGAAUGUAGGGAAUCAACUCGUAGAACUGACCGACGGAUCCCCUUGGCGAGGAAGAAAGACUUCAAAGGCGGCGUGUCGCGUGCGCGCCGGCAAAGGGCAACACAACACGGCUGGGUUGGGCGACUCCUGGGCGGAGGCAACGCAGUAAGGCGCGCGAAGAAGGUGAUAGAAGCAAUGCGGCCACGGCUGCCGAUGGAGAGCAGCAGGAGCAAUGGUGGCAUCUGCAACCCGAGCCAGAGUUGCAGAGUAGCCUGGACCCUGGAGCACGCGCUCACCAGGCUGCUGUGGCGGCGAUCUCUUCGAUGGAAGAUCCUUGUGUGCCUGACGAUCUCCUCCAGCUCUCUCUCCCUCUCCCUUUCACCUCUGCUAGCACGAGCAAGUAGCGACGCGAAGCAACGCGGCGGCGGCCGCAGCUCUGCUGUCGAAGGAGCAGCUCGCGGGAGAAAACAAAAGAGGAAAGGAAUAAUGAAAGGACAGGGUAAAGACCAACGAAAGAAGAGAGGCAGGGCAACCCUAAUGGGCCUAGUUGGGCUUUCAAAAUCGGGCCCACGUAUCCUAUCCUAUUCUCUUUUUGGACAUAUCUUCCAAAGUCCAUGCCCUUUUAAGACAAAUUCCUCCUGUGGUCCUAACAAACUGAAUUGUUGAAACUAACGAUAAUAUCACUACGGAGUACUAUGUUACCGCUAUAAAUAAAAUUACAAAAUUAUCCUCCAGAAGUUUUAAACAACUUGAUAUUACCAAUUAAGUUAAACCAUGAUACUUUUACAUGCUCCAAAUAUUAAUCUAAUAUAACAUAGUAAUAGAUAGAGUAAACUCCACUGUGAUUCUGUGAACCAUGUAUUUGUGAUAAUAAGGUACCAAAGACAUUUUUUCUCUGUGUCCCUUAGAACCAGAUUUUCACAAAUGGUAGUGUGUCGUUCCCUCCUAGUACGGGUUGAAAUUACGAUGUAAAUCUGGUUCACCAAAAAAUAAAAAAUGGCUUAAACUGACACCAUGUAACAACACAAAUAUAGUUUAAACUGGAAUUUACUCUAUCAAAUCUGCAUACAAAAUUUUGAGUUAGUGGUCAUCCAUUCACUCCCCCAUAAUCCUUCUCUUCUCAGUUUCUCACCCCAAUAAGUCAGACUCUGCAAACCCUCCCUUCCUCUGUCUCCUGCUCCUGCCUCUGCUCUACAACCUCCAUAAGUUUGAGUUCACCGUCCAAGUCCAGCAAAGCCUAUCAUCAGGCUUUAAUGGCAUUUCCCAUAUCCAUAGUCCAACUAUCAUUUUGAUCUUGUCGUUAUCAACAAAUUUCCUUGCUUUGGCACAGGCACCAUGGUAGUCUAAAGAAUGCUUCCACCAUGAUGAAGCAACAGCUAUCGAAGACACCAAGCAAGCAGUCCAUCCAAUUCCACUAUGUUAGAAUAAGGACUGGCUAAUUGUUGAAGCCGGCAGUGGCCGUACAAUCACAGCCCGCAGAAUCUCUCUGGCACUAAUUCAACUAGGUCCAACCACUCCAAGACACUCAGACAUCACACAAGCUAGCUACAGUACCGCUCAAACAACAGGCAAACAUGAUUCAAAACGUGAAAGGGUCGAAAUUUCUAAUCAGUUUUGGCCAAAGAAGUGAAUCGCAAAGCUAACAAGCAUCUUCUACACAAACGUAUCGGAAAUCUAGCUCAUCUCGAUAGAUAUAUACGCAUGGAUUACUUGGCACCAAACCGGUGGCGUCUCCAAGUCAGCAUCGCCGGAAGCUGGCCACUGACCAGCCAGCCAGACACGGUGGCGAGCGACAUGAACAGCUAGCCGGGCAUCAAAUUAAUUCAGGACCGAGAUCUGCUAGCUAGCAGCGACGAAGCAAAUACGCGCUACCAGAAGAACAUGACGGCAACAAGCGAGCUAGCUACCGUUCUCUUGCCGGAUAUGGAUAGACCAGAACCAACCCUGAAUUUCCACUCUAGUGGUAACUCGGUUCACGCGGAACACAGCGCGCCGCUAGCUCCGGAGGGAGACGCGCGCGCGCGACGAGCGAGGCAGGAGAUCGGCGCGCUCUCUAAGUGGAUAGGGGAGCGCGCGACAAAGAGAGGCAGGAAAGGAAAUCAGACCUGCAGCGGCGGCAGAGGAGGAGGAGGCGGCGGCGGCGAGUGGGAGCGAGAGGCUUUGUUCCUGCCGUGCGGCGGCGCCGUCAGCUGGCUAAGGACUAGGACUAGGGACGAAGCGAGGGAAGCAGCCUACGGUUUUUAUUCAGUUGGGGCUACAUGGGCCGGGCCGACCUCCAACCCUAUGGCCACUCUUAAUUAUUAUUUUUGUUCCGCUCAAAAAAAUAUUAUUAUUUUUGUUUGUUUCAUUUAGAAAAAUAUGACAUGUUCCUCUCAAAAAAAAAUAUGACAUGUACAACAAUAUGAUAAUGUAGUUUCCAGGAAAAUGUACCAUGCGCUAAACGAAGCAAAAUUUGCAUACAUGAAAAAAAUUAACUCUUUGGAUUGAAGGAUUUUCAUAGGGUUUUGGUAGGAUUCUGACCCAUAGGAAUUUUUCCUACAGAGACUCUUUGGUUCAAAGAAAUGAAUCCUCCUAAAUUCCCAUGGAUUGGUUCCUACACCCUAAUCCUAUGAGAAUUCUAGCAAGAGGUUGGACAUCUUGAAAAAAUUCCUAUGUGUGUAUGACAACUAUGUCUCACACUAAUGUCUAGGCAAAAUUUCUACAUUUUUCCUGUGAUGCAACCAAACACAUUCUAAUAUCGAUUCCUAUGUUUUGAAUUCCUGUAUGAUUCAACAUGCCAUGGCAUCAUAUUCCUGUAUUUUUCCUGUUCCUGUGUUUUACAAAUCCUUUGACCCAAAGAGGCACUAAGCAUACUAGACGUACAUAGGGAGAGGAUGUGAAAUUACUAAAUACACAUGAGAAAGUGACAGCAUAAGUGAAAUCAACAUAUUAAAUGUUGUUUUCUGAAAUUUAAAAAUAUUUUGUAGCUCAAAAUGUUAGAUUUCAAAACUCGACCCCUUCAUAGGUAUUGUUUCAACCAAUUUUUUUGGGCUCUUUCAUCAUACGGUAAUAUAUAAGUUACCAUCCUAUUUUAUAAUAUAAGAAGUUAUCACGACAGUAACAAUUAGCAAACAGAACUAAUACUAACUACCAAGGUAAAUACAUUAUCUCAUAUUGGUGCAUACCCUAUUUUUAUGAUAACUAUCAUGGUGGUUAUUAAUACUAACCAAUAUGGUGAAUACAUCAAUAUUAUGGUGGUAACCAUUUCAUUCCAAAGCAUGCAAAAUGGACAAGAUUAGUAGCCCCUUAAUCUAGAAGUAGAGCAUGCAAAAUGGCCAACAUUUCUAUCCAUUUAAUCCAUAAGUUUAUCAUUACAAAGCAUGCAAUCCAGCCAAAAAAGUAUAGAAGAAAGCUACACAUUGCUCACCUUGUCGCGGCAGCGGGUCAUGCUGGCCUGGUGGGAUGUAGCGACGACAGAUCCCAGGGGAGCAGCUUGAACGGAGGAGCGAUGUGGUGUGCCGGCAGGGUGAGCUCCUUCGACGGCAGGGAGACAUGGUCUAGUACGGCGAGUUGUGGCGGCCAGGGAUGGGGAGGGCGGCUCCGACUAGAUGGAUGGAGUGGGGAGAAUGGGGAGGGGCGGCGGUGCCGCUGGAUGGGGAGGGGAGAGGCAGCAAAACCCUAUCGGGAGAUAUAGGGACUAGGGCCUAGGGGUGCGGCUUAGCUCAGGGGCAUUUCCCGCGCGGUGGCAAUUUCCUCGUAAUUACUGGGCAAAGUUGGUAGGCAAUUUUCUAAGUGCCGGGCCGAGAACCUCAAGAAGCUAGUCCAACCCAACUUUCCAAAAUACUCAUGAACACGAGUGGACUGCUCAAAACAGCCCAUGAGAAGUUUUCCCUUAUUUUAGGUUCGUGCUUCCUGGAAAUGCAAAAGACGAGGGCCAAAAUCUACCGAACAAGCCUAUAUGGAAUACCGCUGCCACAUGUCACAGCUGUACUUGAUAGUCAUUUCAACGAAACAAUAUGCCACUACUUUGGUGGACCAACAUGUAUAGUUUGUAAGAUAUAAUGAUAUUUAGUUGAUGAACAUGCAUCUUAGUUUGCUGACUCCUUUAAACACAAGCAGGAAGGCAGAGAAAAUGAAUCCACCAAUACACUGACGGCUGGAGCUGGAACUCAGUCGCUAUCAUACUUUUUGAGUUUCCGAACUCGUUGGCUCCUUCGGGUGUCCGCAGCUACGAAAACAGGCUUUUCAUUAUGCAAAUUGUGCAUGUCUUUCUCAGUUUUAUUCUUUGCAUGUACGUUAGGAGACUUUUCCAUUUGGUCCUUUCCAUCCACACGAUUCUUUGCGGCCUGCUUAACUUCCACAAGCUGUUGGUACCCUUCUUCCUGGGCUGCUCGAUUAUCUAUAAGGACAUCAUCAACGUUCUGCAAAGACAAAAAAAAAAUCAGCUACAAGUAUGUUGGAAAUAUGUUCUUUUUACAACAAAUAAGAGAGUGAACCAUGUACUUCCUCCGUCCCAUAUUAAGUGACACAAAUUUGCCCAAAUAUGGAUGUAGUUAUGCCUAAAAAGCGUCUAGAUACAUGUAAUAGAAAGUCACUUAAUAUGGGACGGAGGGAGUAUAUGAUACAUGGUCUAUAUUGAAUUUGUCUUAAUUAAUUAACUACAAUCAUGAAAGGAUGGUAGAUCUAGGAAAUACUGGAAAAACAACAUGAAUAUUAUGAGCUUUAGCACUAUUUCCUCAUAAAAAGUGUAAACAUUGAGCAAGCAGUCAUUUCUACCUAUGUUCGGAAAUGGAUACCACAGUAGCCAAAAUCAUCAGUUUCAGAUUAUUAUCCAAUAAAUUCAGGUAUGUUUGGUUCGUGCCAAUUCAUGCCGUACCAAAAUUUGCCAACCAUUGACUAGCAAAAAAUGGCUAGAGAUUCCUUAGACCUUUAUUGGCUAAAAUUUUGGCAAGAGCUGUGAAGGGAUUGUGAGGUGAGAGGGCAAGUUCCCAUAGGAAACCAAAAUUUUUUUGGCAAACAACCAAGCGAUGGCCAAGAUCUAAUGGGCAGGCACCAACCAGACAUAUCAUGACACAAUGUCAACACUCUAUUUCAAGAAGCUCACAAUUAUGACGACCUACAUCCAUACAGCUGAAUUUUCUACUAUAGUAACAUUUGUGAUAUAUAUACUAUUUAUUAGAUUGGCUCUAAAUUACCUACUCCCUCCGUCCAACAAAAAAUGUCUCAAGUUUGUCAAAAUUUGGAUGUAUCUAGACAUGACUUAGUGUAUAGAUGCAUUCAAAUUUAGUCAAAGUUGAGACAUCCUUUGUUGGACGGAGGAAGUAAGUAAUUUUUUAAAUACAGCAUGAUUAAAAUAGAGAAGAAUGAUAUUAUAUGGAACAUGAACUUACUUCUUUGUAUAACUCUCCUAUGUGGGCACGAAUUAGGGGAUUAUCUGCAGAAAAGAGCAUCUGAACCGUGACUUCCUUUGCAUCCGGUUGGGUCGCGCCUUCUUCUGCAAUAUUUCUCUUGGCAUAUCCCAUUGCAUAAUCAGCUGACCUAUCUGAUAGAGCAGAUGGCAUUCCAGCAAGUGGUUUACAUUUGUCCUCCUUCUGAACCAAACUAUGCAGGUCCUUCUUUUUCUGAGGACGAGUCCCAUCCUUCUUACGAGAGGCUAUCUUGAUUCGAGCCUUUUGACUCUUUUGACGCACCUUAACUCGUGUGUGGUCUACAUCAGAUGACAACUCUUCAUGUUUGUUGCGAACUUUGCUGAGAUGGUCUUGAAGCCUAAGGAUUUGAGACUGGAUACCAUCCAUUCUCAGAAGAAUUUCUCUUAAAGAAUAUUGCUCAAAGACCCUGUCAGUUUCCUUGGCCUGCAGUAAUGUAUUGGUAUCUGCAGCAACUGCAUUAAGAACCGAUAAAUAAUAAAGAAUUAGACAUUUGUAAAACAAAACUACAAUGCGCAAAAGAAAAGAGAAGAAAAAGAUGACAAAGAUGCAGGUGUUCUGUAUGUCAACUUCAUUAAUCUAACUGCACUAACUACGAUAGCAUUUUUUUUAGUGUAUGCCAAUCUAUUCCAUAAAAAAUAACAAAACAAUAAAAAGAUGAACAAUCUAAAUAAACAAAAUAGAUGCAAAAAAGCUAAGAAUGGGCACUAACAUCAAAGGCUGCCAAGAUAGUAAUGAGUUGAUGCAAACCAAUAGUUUGUACCCCAACAGACUUUUGCAAUUAUGUCAUAACUCACAACUUGCCUGCACUGGUUAGCAAGGUGGUUAAUUCUGCUGUAGGCAUAUUUGGUAUGUACCUAUGUGUUAACCCUACUUUUAGAAGUGAGCAACAUGCAUUCCUCGAAAGAAAAUAAAUUCUACCAAAGAGGUACUCCCUCCGAUCGGUAUUAAUUGUCUCAAAUUUGCCCAAAUACGGAUGUAUCUAUGUGUAAAAAGUGUCUAGAUACAUGUAAUAUUUCGACAAGUAAUUCCGGCCGGAGGGAGUAAUGUAAAACUAAUAAUAGUCACAGGCUGCAGUAGGAUGCCCGUUGCGCCCUCUCCAGCCAAUCGGAUAAGACCAUGCACCACCUCUUGGCUUUCUGGCCAUUCUCCCGUAGCCUGUGCUACAAGGUCCUAUCCUGGAUCCAAUCGACCGCAGGACCACCUUCAGAUGCCAAGGACUUUGUGGACUGGUGGAGGGUGGCUACGGGCUACCCUCUCUGGAAACAGCGCAACAUGGUCAUCCUCGACAAUGUCAGGCCAGAUAUCACUUCUCUCCACCAUCAAGACAGAGGCUAAGCUAUGGGUUCAGGCGGGAGCGGUGGGCCUAGGAGAGGUCCUACCGGAGAUUCCGGGUGUGAAGCGUGUUGAGUUGUAUCCCCACGUCUUCACCCUUCUAGGGCUUGUACGUAAUUCUUCUUCUAUUAAUGGAUCGAGACACAAUCUUUGUGUUUUUUUUAAACAAAAAUAACAGAAGCUACUUGACAAAGCCACAGUUAGCCAAUGUAACACAUAAAUAAUGUUAUAGAUACGACUAUGGCAGAGUUCAGUUUACACUAUCUGCUUCUAAACUAUAACAAUAGGAGAGUUCAAGUACAUGGGCAAAGCCAUCCAACGUACCUAUACUGUCAAAAGCAUCAUUAAUCAACACACCAUCUGUUUCAGCUCCACUGUUUUUGUUUUCUGCAAAAGAUUGAGACACAUCAUCAUUAUCAAAUAUCAGUACAAGCUCAGUGCAAAAUAGGUAGAAACUUCUCUAGCACUAUUAAAUUAUAGGACAAAUGUCAAACCAUGAUAAUAGGAUAAGAUCUGGUGAUUCUUCAUGUACAACGAGGUGUCCAUAUUGUCUUCAUGUCUUUUCCUUUUUCUCCUCCUCAUGGUAUUUGUAUCAUGACUUUGGACAUUCACUUCUGCCAAUUCUGGAUUAGAAUUAUCUGCUUUAAUCAUCUCCAACUGCAGAUCUUUUUCAUGAUUGAUUAAAUCAAGUUCCUUGUCAUACUUUGCUACUUGCGAUAAAAGUUCCUUCAUACGCAACUCUAACCAUUGACAUCGCCACCUUAUUGAGCCAACAGUCUCUCUCCACUUAGUUGUCACUUGUUUCUGUCUGAAAAAUAUUUUGUGUUAUUUACAAACUACUAAAAUAAGGAUACACAAGAUACACAAAAAAAAUCAAUUGCAACGAUCAUAUCGCAAAAACAUUGUGCAUUCAAGCUCCAAUCUUAGUCACCCCAUAUCUAUUUUAACAUAAUAGACACCCUGAAAUCUGCAUACUUUCACUUUUGCAGGACCCUGUUUCACACUUUGAAUUUUACAAUCGCGCAUCAUGGAAUUUGAUGAAAACAGGGCAUGCAUAAGUUAGUGAAAUAUAACACUGCAUGUAUCGUGGAAGAGACACAAUAAGGCAUGCAAGAUUACUUCAGUAAUGUUGUGGUAAAGCAGUACAAGAAAAGCCCAUUUUAGAACAUCCAGGAUAUAUGUGGCCUGUGAAUCUUUCUUUUCUGCCCAAAGGAAACCAUGCUAACCGCAUUGAAAGACUACUCAUGGAAUCAAUAAGUUUACAGGGACCUGAAGAUAAGUGCACCUGACAAUCUUUGGAACAGAAAUGGUGUCGUCCACAUUGAUAUGACCGAGAAGAGGUGAGUCCACUUCAAUUCCGUUGAAAUCUGACAUGGCCUCAUCACCAGAUAUGGAGCAAGAGGGCCCAAACGAGCUCGAAGACUCCGUGCUGUCCCCAUGCCCGUCUGCAGGAAACUGAAUAUCAUCGGCCUCGGUGUUACCUAAAGACCCAUUCGUCUCCAUUGGAUCACCAUCGACAGGCACCGGCACGGUGGAGUGAAGAAUGUUAUCUCCACAAUUGAUACCACCCAUGGUUUCAGAUCGAACAACCCCGUCGCGAGCCUUGACAUCGGCGUCAUUGCCGUUACUAUCCACCGUUGGAGGCGCUGCCAUGGCCAAGAAGCGGAAAGAUCUCCAAUCCUUCGCGUCUCGCUUAAUUGCCCAAGAUCAAGAAAUCCCCUGAAAUCGGCGACCUUUCAUUAAGGCGGAUCUAGCAGCGGCACACCCAAAAUUUCUGAAGGUCGGUGGGGUUUAACAAAAAAAAAAUCAAGAACCUUGGGGGUUUAACAUGGAUGACAAAAUGGUCGUACCUCAGAAACCAAUGGCCAAAAUUGUGGACGGGGGAUGAGAUUGAGGGAAGAGCGACGGCGGCGACGCGCGUGAGGUGGUAAGGCACCGCGGAGGGGAGAGAGUUAGGGCACGGCAGCAGCUAGAGCCCCAUUGGGUUGGGUCAGAUCGGGGCUCGGCUCCCUCAGGUGAGGAAGACGAAAGGCAGGUACCCCACCACCUGUACGCGGCGAGGGGGGAGAGGAAACCUUGGACUUGGAUUUUGACGCAGAACGGAGAGCAGAUUCGUAUAAAAAGAAGAAAAAAAAACACCGGCUGUUAAAUAAAAACCACCGUUACCAGGUUUUUCCUUUCCUAGGCCAAGAUCUUGAUCUUUUGCUAUUGAAAAAGAAAAAAGUUUUUUUGGUCUUUUUCUUUUAGGAAAUUGCUAGCACGCCUAAGGUAACAGUGGAUGUUAGUGAUGUGGUGAACAAGUAUUUCGAUGUAGUAUACAAACAACCGUGCUUAGUGAUAACUAGCUUGCUAGAAUAAUAUGAUCGGUCGCUCAUGUUCAAUUAAUAACUAAGUAUGAUGCUGCUAAAUCUUCCUCAGUGAUGGCUUUUUUUUAUCAUGGUCACUUAACUUUUCUCAACGAAAUGAGCUCAAUUCAACGCAAUUACCCCACCUUUUCUUCACUUUUUUUGUACCAUAUACCAUAGUCUAAUAUGAAAGCCAAGCCACGUAGACGUUUACUCUGUCAUGCAUGCAGGCUAUUCGUCGUUAACGCUCACUGCCACAUUAAUUGUAUCGUAAAACUAUGACAUGUUGUCUUUGUAUUUUACAGGUGUUUUAUUACAAGUCCAACCCUCGAUGGUAGAGUUGCGAGAGCUCUAUGAGUCACCUCUACACAAGCUCUAACAAAGGUAUUGUUGUCGUUCAAUUGUUGUUGCGACACGUGAACGACAACGCAUGGAGCAGGAAUAGGUGUAAACAUGAGAAGUUAAUAAAAACAUUUAUACUUAUAAGGUUAAAGUUUCGUAAUAAAUGGGACCCACUACUGAUCAUGCAGGCUAUUUCAUCAUCGAAUCUUGCCACCACAUUAAUUGUGUGUCAUAACACUAUGACAUGUUGUCUUCAUAUUUGUUGGUGUUUUAUAACGUCCAAUCUACUCCCUCCGUCCCUUUUUUGUGGACGUUUUAGUUUUUGCUCUCCUAUCAAGACAACCUAAGCGGUCAAGCUUGGAGAAAAAUAGCCUUGCAUGCGCCUGUCUGCCAUCCUGUCUCUUGCCUGCCGGGAAUUUUCUUAGUUGCCCAAUCAGUUGAGCCACAUGCAUGCAGGGUGGAAGAAAGCUCCUUGGGAAUUGAAGGAAAGUUUGAUUAAUUAUGCAUCACUCGUGGUGGCCUGUGUGAUCGAAGAUAGGGUUAUUUUGAACGACCGAAGUCUAAAUGUAGUUACAUGCCUAUAAAAUCAGGACCUCAAAAGUGUGAAUAGUACGCCCCAAAUUUAGUACUGAUGGGGUACUUGAUAGUACCAUUACUAAAGCUCUACGAGCCACCUUAUACAAACUGGAGCAAAGUGUUAUUCAUCGUUUGGAUUGUUAGUGUGACAUAUCUUUAUCUUUACUCUUCUAAAUAAGACUCGUGGUGGUGGCAAUAUGUCACCACCCAUCUCACCUCUUACAUGUGUGGGUCCAAACCUUGCCCUGCAAUCAGAUCCCGCAUAGCCUCCCUUCCUCUUUUCUUCUCCGUCGUGCAAAGUAGCCGCCGCCGCCACGGACCUCAACUCCCUCCGUUCUAGGGGCUGGAUCCGCCACUAGGUCCGAGCCCACACUCUGCUCCCUCUCUUUCUCAGUGACGUCGUCGCCGCAGGUCACGUCCUGCCUUCUUGCCUUUCUCGUUUCUCCUUCUCAUCUGCGGAGGACGCCACUGGCACGGAGGUUCAUCCGUGGACGACCAUGCCGGCACGGACGCCCCACCUUGCUACUACCUCGCAUCACCAUUGCCCCCAUCCCAUCCUUCUUUCUUCCCUGCACCACGCGCCCACCGGGCCACCCUCGCAUCCUCGACAAUAGUCACGUGUGGCGCUGUCGAGGAGAGGUCUCUUAGCACCGCCGCUAGCUUGAAGCUGCGGCAGGACGGCUGGCCAACCUAAUUGGCUACUGCUGCAACUGGGAUGAGUUUCUGCUCGUAGCAGUCCAUCAGGUUCCACUGUAAGUUGUAUAUGGAUAUUGAUUUGCUUUCAGUUGUUGGACCAAUUUUGAUAACUCGUUGUAUGAGCUAUGAAUUUCUGUUUUUUUUUGCCAGCCGGAAGUUGGCACCUUCUGGUGAUAAUCACAGAAAUCUGCAAGGCGAUGGCAACUAGCUCCCUAUGUGGUUCUCGGCUUGUUUGCUUUUCUUCGCCUGUUGUUUUGUUUAUGCUUUGUUCUUAUGAUUCUUUGCGUCUCCUUCUUAAUGAAAAUGACACACCACUCAAAGAAAACAAGCAGCAAACCUAUACUAUUUCUUGACAUGACUCUCGUUUAUCCCUCAACUUGAUUUGGUAACCAUCUUUUCAUGUGCUUACACUGAUGGUCUUAUUGGGUAGAAGAAGACGAUCGUACUUAAUUUGAAUGGUGGUUUAGUAAUAACUAGGUAAGUGCCUGUGCGUUGCAACGACGAGAUGAAAAUUUAAAGCUUAACAAGGAUGAAAAACAUUAAAAAAAAUUAACGCACAAUCAUGGUCAUCGGAUAACGAUGCACCGCUGCUUAUGUACUUGUACAUAGUACAAGUCAUAUAAUUACUAACUGUGACAAUAUGAUAGGAAAACAAAUACUUCAAUGGACCAACAAUACAGUGCACAUGAACAUUAACGAAGAACUUGGCCAUGGACCCUCUCCAAUAGAAUUUUCGGUAAAUACACAGUAGAAGUCACUUGUUCUCCAAUAGAAUUAUUGGAAACAAUGUAAAAUUAAACACAUCAGAUCAAGACAGCCGCCAAUACCUUAUCAAAUAUCCAUUUCAUAAAUUGCAACAUGAGAAAUUCCUUUUGGGGAAAGAAUGUGGCUACAUGCAGAGGCUUCCUAUUUAUAUUAAAGAAAUUGAGAAACCAGGUAGUGUGUAUGAGUACAGACUAAAAAAGAAAAGAGUAAUCUAGAACAAUAAAAGAUCGCCGACACCAUAUAAGGCAAUGCAAAUAAGGCAGAAAAAAAAGUUCCGAGUUGGAUGGUAACGCCGAGGAUCAUCCAGCUAUAGCUUUGAUGGUAGGCUUUGACCAUUCGCAGCAGGCAGCAGUGAAGACUUCACUUGCCAUGUGCUUCAACAAGCAUUCACCCGAGAAUUUCUUGUUUUCCAGUUUUUACUGCAAGAAUGCUAGCAAAAGAAGUUUUUACUGCAAGAAUGCUAACAACCAUGUAGCAACACAAAUGAAAGGGAUAUUGUUACACAUUCACAGAUCAACCCUACUGUAAUCUGAAAAAGAACAAUGAAAGACCAACAAAGUAUGUUGAUAAUUAUGUUAACAGCUGACGAUAGUUCCGCUAACUAAUAGGAGUAUGAGCACUGCAGACUAUGAAAGGACAGAACAUACACUUUUGGACUCAGGAGCACUCUAUUAGAGAUGCAUGAGAACAUCAAUCUAUUUCUCACAAAACCAUUAUAAGUGGACUGUUACUCCUGGCAGAGUGUAGCACUGAGAAGUUUACAACAAAACUUGAUAAAGAAUAAGCAAAACGAAUCCAGCAGCUGCACUGUGUCACUAUCAAGAGAAAGCACAACUGGAGAAAGAAACUGGAUCGAUAGUCUCUGCUUAACCGGGAAGGAUAGAAUGUAAAACCAACCUCCCUACUCCUACCUUUCCGAGGAUGAAAAUCUCCACCCUCCUUGGACAAUAUACAUUUGACCGGCAGCCCACAAUAAAAUCAAACAACUCCUCUUUGGGACAAUUGUAGCAUCAGAUAGUAUUCUUUUAAGAAAACCGAUAUUAUGAUUGUCCCAAGCAGCUAUAUGCUAACCAAUGUACAACAUAUAUGUCUAGAGAAAAACAGAUCAUCUCUGUUGUACCAUUACCAUGCAUGAGCAAGUUUGGGAUCCAAACUUGCUUGAACACGGUGUCGACAACACGAUUUUCUUUUCCUCCAAGCUGUACCCUCAGCACUAAUAUUUUUUAUGUAAAAGUUAAUUUCUGAACUGAACUUGUUUAACUGGCCCUCUUACGAAGAAGAUCGAAUCUGGAUCUCAGCAGUCCAAUUUAUACCGCAGUUACAAUUUGAAGAACGAAAAACAAAGCUCGUCUUUAAAAGGCACGGCUGGAUUGAUUUAAAAGAUUUAAAGUGAUAAUGAGUAAUCAGUUACCCUGUGGGGAGUGAGUAGACAUAUAGCUGGGAUCAUAUCGAUCUCGCCUGCGGCGACGCGUCCUGCAGCCUCAGGUCGUUCGGUACUUAGCCCCGCUGAAUCGGUUGUGCAGGGACAACCCAAGGUAUGCGGGAGCGGGCACGGAGCGAACCUCGCGAACCCCGGCCUCCACCACCUCCGGCUCUUCGGGAAGCACGAGAGGCACCGACCCGUCCCUCUCCUCCGCCAAUCCCAGCUGCCGACGCUGACGCCGUACCGAGCCCUUGCGUACUUGCGUCCGCUUCCUCAACCUACAGGCACACAUACAUACACCGACACGAAUCCGCGGCGACCAAUUCGCCUUAACCCGAUGAACCCCUACAAGCGGCUGUUUCGAUGCGUCGGUACUCACCUGGGCGUGACGGCGCGGCGGUGUGUUUCGCGGGGAGGGUUGGCCGACGCGACGAUAGCAGACGGGCGCAGGGCGUUAGAAGACCGACGCGCGGCGGCGGAGCGUGGGCGGAAGGCUGGCGCACCGCGGCGGACGACAAAGAGAUGCUUGGGGCAAGGCACGGGGACGAGGCUUGGGCGGCGGCGUUUGAAGUGGUGUCGACGGAUGCGGGAUGAGGAGUCCGGCGUUGAUGCCGCGAUGCGUAGGGCGGCGGCGGCGAGUGAGGCGGACGCGAGGGAUGUUUGGACUGGGCGAUAGAGAGUGGGCCGGACCAUACCGGUUCUUUUUUGUCUAUUUUAGAUCUAGCGACGCUGCGGGAAAGAUUUUUGGUUUUUCGAUCGAGCGAGCGCGUGCGGAGAGGACGACGUACGAGCCUACCGGCUCGGACCCAAGUGCAAAUUAAAGAAUAGAGAAAAAUAAUUUCUUGCAGGACCAUUUCGAAACGGGGAGAUAUCAGAGGAGAUGUGGAAAAAAAGAGAUGUAUUUUCAACUUAUAGUUUUAUAUAGUUGUUCAAUAUGCGGAGUUGGAGCUCAAGUCACCCCGAUGCACCACUUUUAGCAAUGUAUAAAUACAAAAACGUAAUGAUCGAUACAUGAAUCCUAGCUAAUGUCCCGCAUUUUGCCAAACUCUAUAUUCUUAGACUAUAUUUCAUCUAUAGCCAUAAUUGUUGCAAAGUAUACUGUGUAGUUCUGCGUUCGGCCGGCAUCGCGUGGCCGUCUUGGGAAAAGGCGAACAGGUGUAGACGUCCUGCUGUUACCAGCAAAAAAAACGGUUUCAAUUUUUAACAGAGAAAAUUCGCAAGUCACAGAGCGAUUCCGCAAGUGCGGAUUCCUUUUCUUCCGGUGUGGAUCGAUCGAUGGGCCGAUCGAUCAGUCGAGCCACGUGCUCGUGCAAUUGCAGGCCGGCGGGAAAUUGGACCACCCCUGAUGCACCACACCAGGGCCAACCUGAUGCCCAUGCCCUUUUGGAUGAUAAGUGUUGUUAGAAAAAAUAAAUCAGAACCGUAUUCCUAUGUAUCGGGGUCGGCCCACUGGGCUCCGCCCUGAGUGUGGAGGAGUUCAGGGGGAUGGUGGUUGCUGCCUCAAAACAAAGCUCCUCAUGAGUUGCCUAGGUGGAUUUUCGGGAACAAGUUAGUAGAGCCAUGCACAAAGGCCGGAACAAAAUCAUAAUUCAAGCUUUUGAAGCAUUCGAUUUUGCAAGGAAGUGUGGAUUCGAGAAGGCUAGUGGAGUGCACUUCACAAAAUGCAGAAGUGAAAGUGAAAAACAUUUGAUUUUUUUUUGUGAGCUAAAAUCAGGAGUCCCAUAUCCCCUGUUAAACUAUGAAGGGCCAGAUUUAUAUUGAACUAUUUUUUUUUAUUAAAACACCAUCUUCUUGAUUAUGAAGUUGGUUUGGGCACAAUAUAUGAGUUAAAAGUUGGAACUAUGUCUGAAUCUUACAUCAUAUACCUUGCUGCAAUAUAACGUAGUAAUAUGAUUUGUUUGUGAUAAUGCAUUGUACACAUUAUGAUUAGUUUGAAAGUUGGAACUAUUUAUGAAUGCCUUGUAUUUGUGAGAAUAAAUACUUUGUUGAAAUUAUGUGAUUAUGCAUUAUGCAUCUGGUCCGAACUUUACAUACAAAAUUGUGCAAAUUUGUAUGUUUUUUUCAUUCACCCGUGCGUCACUCCAAAUAUGCACUGAGCAAUUGUUUGCCACACCACUGGAUCACUCAAUAUAUUAUUUACACUCGUGUUGACCCUUUCCAAUUGAACCAUUGGACUACAUCUUGGGCAACACAUAUAUCCUUAUUGCUCCAUCUCGAUAUCUCGAAACCACAUAAGGCCACUCCCAAUGCUAAUCUCUUAGCACGCUAUUUUAGGCAAUUUGCCGACAUGACACCCUUUUAAUGAUGAAACUGUCUUAAAUUCUAGUGACCGUCUCUUCACGCAGACCAACACAAGGUAAUUAACUCUUUAUCACAAAGCUAUUAAAUAACUGCUACUUUGGAUACCACCUUAAGAGAUAAUGCAUUGGGAUAUGGUUUUUUAGCAUUUAUUAUGGGUUAAGAACCAGCACCUAAGGGACGAUGCAUUGGGAAUUUGGGAGUGGCCUAAUGUUUCACUUGGCAAGACUUGAUCACCAAUUCACCCAUGGCUCAACUCAUAAGAUAACCUAUAUGACCAUCCUGAGUUCCACCAUGAAUAUCAUCAUUGUUUUUUACUUCAGCUUCCACAUUGACCAUACUUGUUGCCUCACUCGAUGAACUCAAUAUUGAUCAUUCAAUGUUCACUCUCCAUGCUUCUUAUUGAUCACAAUGCAUUUAUGAUUUAUCUCUUGAACCCACUGGAUUGAUGCAUGGCUUGGUUUGGUGGCAUUCAUCGCGAAUCCAUUCAUCCUUGAUUCAUGGCAGGUAAUUUUCAUUGUUCAUGUUUUCCACCUUGAACCCAGAUCAUGUCUCCAUGCAAUAAAAUAAAAUAAAAAAGAACACAGACCAUGAUCCAAUUCUCAUGAUUUUGAAAUGUUCAAACGGACAGAUCAUUUCUCUAUUGUUUCAACAAUAUGUUCAUGGAUUUGUAUCCGUAAUAUGGUAUUGUUCAUAAUGUGUGAAUGUUUGGAACUGAAAUAAAUUCCAUAUUUUUCUAUGAUAAGUUUGGUUCACGGAUUUUGUUGUAGUUUUGCUAAUGAUUCGUGCUUCUAAUCUGGGUCAUUUCUUUGAUCAAAAGGUGUAGCUAUGUUCAAUUAUUUGAAUUCAGAUCAUUAAUUAAGAGCAGAAAAAAUGUUUUAGCCCACAAUAAUGCAAUGCAUUUUGUUUUAGCCAUGAAUACUAUGUGUCGGACAAGAUCCGAUGCUAUUCUGAAUUUCCCCCACAAAUGAGCUCACCUGAACUCAGCAGAACCAGCACACGGAUUAUCAUACUGUAGUGCCACACGUAAACAUCACAAAACACUCACUAGAUUUUCUUAUGUUAAGCAUCAGAUCGAUGGAGCUAACUCUGAAUACUGGAUGAUGCCACACAUCAUAAAGCAUUGUGCUAAGCAUCAUAUUCAUAUGAACAAACAGAAAAAGAUACAGCAGUACAUUACUCAUACGGAAUCUCAGAGCCGCAGAGAGAUACAGAAUUCAUGCUAUCUGUACGCGUGAUUACCACAAUAAAAUAACGGAUAAAAUAUUAUACGUACUUGUCAUUUAGCAAUGGCAGCGUGCCAGUAUGAAUAUGAUGCCUGACUGCAGGAGGGGGAGAGAAGAGUAGUCAGAUGAGUCAGGAGUAGAGGGGCCGCUCGGUCCAGGCGCCGGCGACGUGGCCGUUCUCGCAGACGUAGGCGCGCACCACGGGCUCCCCGUCGUCGUGGUACCCGUAGAAGCUCCGGAGGCAGAAGGCGGAGUAGAGGUCCCACGCCUCCGUGCAGGCGCAGAAGGCGCAGGCCACGGCGACGGUGGGGCGGCGCGUGUCCCGGAGCGCGCGCCGCACCUGGGAGCGGGCGAAGUCCUGGAACACGCCGCGGAACACCAUGUACUUGCGCCGCUCCUCCGCGUGCACGCACCCUGGCCAGUCGCAGAUGUAGAGCCGGUCGCCCCGGAAGCGGCUGGCCAGGAGCUUGUUGCCCUGCUCCCGGCUCAGCGUCCAGGAGCCCGACGCCAGGUGCGACCCCACCGGGCCCAGCCACCGGCGCGCCCGCCGACCGCGGCUCCCCGACGCCACGCCCUGGCAGCGCGCCCGGACGGCAUUGGCUGCGGCUGGCUCCGUCGGCUCCUCUGCGGCGGCAGGGAUCUGCGCCGCCGCCUCGGAGGAAGAGGAGCAGUCGUAGGCGGCGUCCAGGUAGAGGUCGUCGUAGAGCGACCAUGCGGCCGGUGGAUCGCUAGGCGUCAUUAGCUCCGCGCUGGUUCUCGACUUGCCAUGGGACGACGACGACUCGGCCGGCGCGCUCUUGGGCGGCGGCGGCUUAGCCGAGGAGAUGGGUGUGGCGUCGAGGGAGGCGGAGGGGACGGAGAGAUCGGGCCCGAUGUCGAGCUCGAGGCCGAAGUCGUCCGAGGGCUCGAGGAGGAUCCCGGCGCGGAGGAGGCCGGGGCAGCAGACGGACAUCUUAUGGAGCGCGGCCCAUGCAGCGGGCGCCCCGUCGGCGGCCGGUGCCGGCAGGAGCUCAGCGGGGAGCGCCCGAGACAGGCGCGGCGGGAAGCACGCGGCCCGGAGGAGCGCGGCGAGGCGCGGGGACGCGCAGGACGCCCGGGCCCAGUCCCGCGGGUCAGCCUCCAGCCGGCCCAGGAUCUGCAGCAGCACGUCGUCCGCCAGCGCCUCCACCGCCCCCGCAGGCGCCGCCGCCGCCUCCUCCUCCUUGUCGUCCCUCCUCCUCUUGACGAUCUCCUUGUGCUCCGCUCCGCUCAUGGCUGAAGUCUGGCUGUGGCUAUGGCUGCACCGUGCUCCUGAUUUCUUGGCGUGAUUUUGUUCUGGCCGUUGAGGCCUUCCGGAUGCGAGGAUUUGUUUUCUUCGAGUCUGUUGUGUGUUUUGUGUGGUGGUGAUGUAUGUUAGCUUUGGCCUUUGGGAAGAUAGGUGAUGCUUCCUUCUUCGUAUUAAAUUCCUCCUGCAAUCCCAACGUGUGGCGGAGGAUCUACUGCGUGGCGCUGCGAAUGAUGACCGGUCGCUCUCUGCCCGUGUGUCAAGAUCACAAUUAUUUUAUUCCAGAAAGAAACGAGGGGCUCAACAUUCUUCUGUUGCUAACAUCUACUGUGAAAAAAGAGAGGAUAAGGUGUAGUUCAACACUCGUUUUCUUUUUUUUAGAAUCAGUUCAACACUCUUUUUGUGGGCAAAUUUUACACUUACCCACAGUAAGUUCUACUGUCCUUUUAGGCAAUUAUUUUAUUCCCACCCACUUAAUGUGAUACAUAUAUGUAUCACUAUUUUUUUAUUGUAGUUGACUAUUGUAACAUGUACUUCUAAGAUAACUGUUUUCUCAAGUAAAUAUUUUAAGAGAAUUUAUUUUAGCAUAAAAUUUUAAAAAAAAUCCUAAACACAUAAAUAUUUUAAAAACUCAUGCAUGUAAUACAUAUUUUGAAUUCCGCGACAACACACAUGUAUUUCGGUUGUGUUUGUUUGGGCUGAAGCUCCACAGUUGCAGAUUUCAGAAUCAGUUGUGGCUACCAGCUGCAGCUGCAACUGAAAUGUGCUGAAGACCUGAAUGACCUUGUAGUUCUGUAGAUUUGGUAUUAGUGCUAACUGUACUGUUUUACAAGUAAAUUAGUUUUUUUGUUGCUGCAGAUGAUAAUUUUUUUACUUCAUCAGACAAUAUGUACGCAUUAUAAUAAUUUUUAGAAGACAUUAUACUAUAGUAUACUAAUAAUAUAUUGUCCACGCUUCGUUCGGUUGCAAAAUAUAAGCUCAUUAGCCAAUUUAGACAGUUUAAACUGGAAAUAAGUAGUUUAAGUCAUUUAAGGUCGGGUUUAAGUACUUAUUGUAGUAGAUCGUACAAUCACGUGGAACUAAACUUGUACGGAGUAUAUCUUAUCUUCCAAUAGCACAAAGUUCUGAAGAGAAAAAACCCAGGCCAUCGCUUAGUUCUGAAGAGAAAAAACUCAUGCCAUAGCUGACUGCCAACUGCAUUCUCCUUGCGGACAGAAAACUCAAUUUUCUGAAUAACUCCCACCGCCAAGCAUUGAAGAUAACGUCAUCCUGAACUUGAACAUGGUCAGAUUUGUUACUCUUGCCUGUACAAAGAACUGAAGAUCUCUAGUGUUUCCCAACACCUCUCUCCCACUGAAACUGCAAAGGAAUUUCAGAGUAACUAACGAAGGAGAAGGACAUAGAAGAAAGAGGGAGGGUACAGAGAGUGCCUUGGACCGGAGGCAGAAGGGGAGCAGGGAGAAGCAGGAUGGGGAUGGCCGGACCUCAUACCGGAGGCUGAAGGGGCGGCCAGACCUCGGACCGGAGGCAGAAGGGGCGGCCAAACCUUGGGACAGCAGGGAGUGGCGGGAUUAGAGAAGGUCGGGGGCGGCGUCGAGGGCCACGGCGUUGGGAGCAGGGGGCAGCGGAAGCUCAGGGAUGCGGUGUCCGGGCGUCGCCGCCGGUGGCAGGCCGCGUCGCAGAGGUAGGAGAGGGUCUGUGUGUCGCCCAGAAAGACGGCGGAGACGCAGGCGUGGGCGGCUGGGUGGAGAGGAGAGGACCUCGGGGCGGCUCCAGACCACGGGACAUCGGAGGGGGGCGGCGGCAGCGAGGAGAGAUCGAGAGGCGGCGGCAGCAAGUCAACCUUGUGUGGUGCUAUUCCGCUCAGGAUGGGGAACGAAUCGUUUUGUGGCAUUUUCGAUGUUGUAUGGGAAUCGAUGGGAGGGUAUUCCGGUAAAAGUUGAAGUUGGAUGCUGCAGCCGCUGCAAGAAGCAGCGAAAUCGUGGAUUCUCAAUCGCUGUAUGUUUUUGUGAAGCGCUCCAUCGAAGCCGCUCCUAGAAUUCGGCCCGAAUAUAGCUGUUUGUUUGGGCUUCAGCUUUUACAGCCCAAAAGCUGUUGGAGCAGCUGCUGGCAGCCCAAACAAACGGACAAACGGACCUUUAGCCAGUGAACGCUAAAGCUUACAGCAUGGAAUUAGAGUAAAUGUUCUCUUAUUCAUUUUACUUUUCAUCUUUUUUUUUCCUUCAAGCGUUGCCAACUUCUUAUUUUUGUUUCUCCUAUUACAAAACGCAUCGUACUACUUUUUUGAUUUGGACAGCUUUCAAGGGGCAUGGCAUUGCAAUACUAAACAUUAUCUAUUCAUGUGUUACAGAAUCUAUCAUUUCAGACUGCCCAAUAUUUGUUUUUUCCAUCCAAGAGCAACAGAAGGCAUUUACAUAAAAAGUUAGCUGAUGUCUUAUUGACAAGUGGGAAGUAUAUGCACGGCAAGCAGAAUGCGCCCAUCUAGUCCAAAUCCAACUAAGACUAAGAGAAAGCAUUUCUCAGAAGAAGAAAACAAAUCCAAGAGAAAGCACGUAGCUCACUGAGGAGAAGGAAUGCUCUCCAGCCACUCCAUUCCGCAUGUCUGUCGACAGCGCAUCAGCCGAGCACAGGAAGCAAUGAACCACACAACGGCUCCGCCAAGAACACUACUCAUUAUCUUCCUAUCAUGUGGCCACCCCCUUUUCAAGUUACACUUAAAAUAAAAGUAAUAAAAAUCAACAGGGGCCUUACUUGUGAAUGCAAAACUGAUCCCGUUUAAUUAACUUGUUAGUUACUUGCCGCGUCGCGGUCUUCUUCUUUAAUGCAUGAUAUACCCGUCGAGGUAUAUUCUAGAAAAAAGAAAAAAGAAAAAGUUCAAAAGCAUUGCUCAAAACUUAAUUUUUUUUUUGGAAAUUGGUCUAGAAUUACAUAUCUCCAGACUACAGGUACAUACAAACAACACAUACAUUCUUUCUUUCUCCCUCCAGGGGAAACAAAAUCCAGCAUGCAAAAAGGAGCCACGUACCAUUGGAGCACCAAAGGGGAACAUAGAUCAUGGAACCAAGUAGCAACACCCAGGCAAGCAGUUGAGCCCAUAUAUGAGUAAAGGUCACGACAGCACAUACCAAUGAUAGCACGAUCAAUGAAUGAUCCAGAACUGGAGCAAUCAUACACACCAAGAUGGUCGAUCCAUCACAGAACGCGCCAAGGAAUCCACAGAAACAAUACCCAGAACAAAGAAACGCUAGCUGCUGCAAAUAUUUCCUCGUACUGGCCAAAAUGGAACUAGAAUUUUCAACACAUGUAAGUUGCCUGACAUAGCAUAAAGCUAAAGCCACGGCCCAAGAGGUAACAACUUUUGCAUUCUGGAACUGGCAAGUGCAGAAGUAGAACAAGCACACUCCUAAAUUCAUCUCAAACAAUAAAGCUGAAUUUCUAAUUUUUUAAGGAAUAUAAUUCUAAUCAUUCAUAGUCAAUACUAUAACAUCUCAAUCCCACAAAUGUUGACAUGUUUUUCACGGCUUUAAGUGCAUCUGCCUUCACUCAGAUUUCAUCUGCAAGGAAGCAGUCACUGAAUUACUAUACAUGUAUCGUACUAUUUUGUUAAACGGCAAAAACAUGAAGUUUUGGAUACAGGAGACCACAUCUGUAAAGUAUUCAGAAAACCAAAAGGAUGCCACUCGACGAUGUUGCAUUCAUAUGGUUCAAUUGAAAUAUGUUUACACUGUGUACAUGGAAUGUUUGGGCGAGCAUCUGGGCAGAUUCUCACCCUUACUACACCGAAUCAUGUAUUUAUUACCUCAGAAUAAAUUUGGAAAUUACAUGCCUUUACUUCUCAAAAAGGAGGAAAUUACAUGUCUUUAAAUGAAAAUGCAGCCACUAUGGAUCAAAGAUUUUGAUCAAACAGCGCAAAAGUUAUGUAAUCUAAUAACACAAAUGCCAUUUUUAUAUUUGAGAAUAGAAACACAAGUGCGACACGUACAGAUGAAAAAGAGGUGCAUAAUUGAUAAAAAGAGCUCAAAACCACUCCAUAUAUGUUUAGUGCUAGCACUAUCUUGCUCCUAUGCUAGUUGUACUCUUUCCAUACAGUACAUUGCAAUCCAGCUGAACUACCAAAAGCCCCAAACCAUCCUUUGAUUCUCAACAUUACAAUAUCCUAACAUGCAAUCCCGAGAUAGCUGCAUGCAUGGUCCAAUCUAGUAAAGACAAGAGAAAAUCUUCAAUGAUGAAGGAUAGCUUCUAGUUAUGUGCAUGCUCAAUAAUAAUGCAGGGGACUCAAGAGGCAUCCACAAAGCAAAUCAGAAGGGAAUCCCAAAAUUUAAGAAAAUUGCAAGCCAUUUUAUAUCUUGUUAAUAGCUAUUUUCAUUGCAGUUGCUUAUUGUCCAUUCCAAGAAAGUGUGUAGUUCCUAAAUAGCAGAGAUGCACAUGCCGUUAUGCCUAGUAUUCUCAACUUCAAUUUUUUUUUGAGGCUCACUUCAAAACAUUACCUACCAGAAUAAAAUUGUUCAGACCUUGCUUUAACAGGUGAGCAAGACCGAGAAGCAGAUCUAGAUCUGGAUCAGCGAAGAAUAAAUUCAUGUUAAUAUCUUAGGAGUUGCCAUAAUUAACUGAUUUGGGUAUGAAGGAACUGAAAAACAUACAUCGGACUCCAACUCUGCUAUAAAUGUGACUUCUGCUCCUUGAGUAAGAACAGCUAUGGCUUCUGCUUCACGAGUAAGAGCGGUUGCAACUUCUGCCUCUUAGCCUCUAGAGGGAGAGCGACCAUGCCUAGCAUCAUACUCCCUCACCUAUUACCAGCAUAAGCUGAUUAGAGCAUGUAGAUCUUGAAUUUCAAUGAGGUGAGGCAAACAUGUAGAUAUAUAAUUCAGACUACUGGUUAAGAAAUAAGGGGAUAAAUAGAAGAUAACCAUAUCCUCGUGAAAAUGCAUUGCGGAACUCUGAACCAUCGAGUUUUCUAAUCUAACAUAACAAAGCCUAGUAAGCAAGUAUCUUCAUGGGAAUGUAUGCACGUGUAUGCGCAUGGAGAAGCAUUUCAAUAUCUCUGUGUCAAUUAUUAAACCAGCUAUCUAUAGCACAACGUGGAAGACACAGUCAAACUCACUGCAUGUUUCAUGUCCUCAUAGUUGUUAUAAUCAACUAUUCCAAUAAUUGCUGCAACAUGUAACGAUAAUGUCAGCAGCAGUUGAGACUACUAAAAGAUAACACGCUUUGAGUGACAGUUAUGUAUUCUAAAUGACUAGUCCCAAAUUCAUAUGAAUACUCACAAGGAACAAAAGAGGAACUGGAAGGAUUCGCUACUAAACUCCAGCCUCACGAUACACGUCAGAGAAACAGACAUCACCAGCUCGCCGCAUGUGAUCCUGAACAUGAAGUAAAUUUAAGAUUCAUGAAGCAUGAACUUCAUGAGCUUGCAUUUACAUGCAAACCUAUGGUCUCGAGAAAAAUAUCAACACCUUGAGAUCUUGCCAUGAUGCUGAAGAAGGUAAUCCAGUAACCAUAACUGCACGAUCUAGAGAUGUAAGAACAGGGAGAACUCCCAAUCAGAUUUGUAAAGCGUAAAGUUAGAAACACAAACCGCGGUAAUUAGAAUGCCUAGCUCUUGAAUUUCAAUGAGGUGAGGCAAACAUGUAGAUAUAUAAUUCAGACUACUGGUUAAGAAAUAAGGGGAUAAAUAGAAGAUAACCAUAUCCUCGUGAAAAUGCAUUGCGGAACUCUGAACCAUCGAGUUUUCUAAUCUAACAUAACAAAGCCUAGUAAGCAAGUAUCUUCAUGGGAAUGUAUGCACGUGUAUGCGCAUGGAGAAGCAUUUCAAUAUCUCUGUGUCAAUUAUUAAACCAGCUAUCUAUAGCACAACGUGGAAGACACAGUCAAACUCACUGCAUGUUUCAUGUCCUCAUAGUUGUUAUAAUCAACUAUUCCAAUAAUUGCUGCAACAUGUAACGAUAAUGUCAGCAGCAGUUGAGACUACUAAAAGAUAACACGCUUUGAGUGACAGUUAUGUAUUCUAAAUGACUAGUCCCAAAUUCAUAUGAAUACUCACAAGGAACAAAAGAGGAACUGGAAGGAUUCGCUACUAAACUCCAGCCUCACGAUACACGUCAGAGAAACAGACAUCACCAGCUCGCCGCAUGUGAUCCUGAACAUGAAGUAAAUUUAAGAUUCAUGAAGCAUGAACUUCAUGAGCUUGCAUUUACAUGCAAACCUAUGGUCUCGAGAAAAAUAUCAACACCUUGAGAUCUUGCCAUGAUGCUGAAGAAGGUAAUCCAGUAACCAUAACUGCACGAUCUAGAGAUGUAAGAACAGGGAGAACUCCCAAUCAGAUUUGUAAAGCGUAAAGUUAGAAACACAAACCGCGGUAAUUAGAAUGCCUAGCUGCCUCACGGCGUCCAGAACUACUAUAGCUCCUUAAUCGAUCAAAGGAAGGACCUGUUCCACCAUGAGCUAAUUCCACCUGGAUAAUAAAAGUCAUACCCAUCAUGGCCAUAAAUUGCAUCUUCAGCAUCACACCGGUAUAUUACCUCAACAAAAGCAUAAACUGGACGCCUUGGAGGGAUUUCAAGUCGAUAUCCAAUAUACGGCCAUACUGCAGGAGCAGCGUAUUGGAAAAUUAAAUUUACAUGUAGGAAUGCUCAAGUAGACAGAAAAAAAUAGUAACGUGGCGCCUAGUUGGCUUACCUUGUGCAAAUCCUCUUGCAUCACCCAUAUAGGAUGGUAACCACAUGUGCUAUCUAGGUGAUGUGGAGUGACUCCAUCCUAAGUGAAAAUACUGAUAAAACUUCAGAAUUUGGAUGCUUUUGAUGAUUUUUUUUAAACGUUCGCCUAAAUUUGUCAAAUUUACACAAAUUCAUGCUUUAAAUGGUAUUUGUUUUCUCUGAUAGGGCCAUUUACUGGAGGGGGGCAGUAAUUAAAAAAUACCGUCCGUUUAUUUUUUUCUCGAACACGCCGAGCGGCAUGUCAUUUUCAUUAAGGAGAAAGCGCAAGAUGCACAAAGCACAAACAAGGCAACAACAAAAUCCAAGCAGGUCAAAGAAAGAAAAACAAGAAAGAAGAAGAAAGGAAAAGAAACCGAAAACAACUAACAACUAUACAAGGGUAUAGUUUAAGCCGAUAUUGAAACCUUGAUUACAGUUUAAGCUGAUAUCGGAGCAAAAUCUCAACUACGUUGUGGCUGAUCUAGAGUUUUUUGGUGGUCAACUCAGCGAGGUAUGUUGGCUGGCUGGCUGCCCACCGGAAUUCGACCCCCAAAGGUCACAUUUUGGUGCCCCAAAAAUUAAUAUAUGCAUCUAUAUGCUGUCGGGUUACAAUCGCACAUCUAUUGCAGUUUAAAUUUAAAAAACACUAACGGAUAAGAAACACCAACGACAUGGUAACCCAGACCAUUGAAAACCUAACCUUGUAGAAUAAAUCCUCAUGUUCCCUCUCACGGAUGUCGUUGGGAAGAUUGCCCAAGUAGACGGUGCAACUGUUCCAUCGACUCAUUGUUUCUGGAAGAAAAAAAUCAAAUUAGCAAAUCGCUCACAUUAACUUAAGCAAAUUUUAGGCUGAAAUCAAAUAGCCGAAGUAGCAAGGCAAAUAUAAAUACCAAUUGGAGAGGGAAAUAUACUAAUUAAACAAGUUAGAAUUACUUAUUUGCAUCUGGUCUCUAGUCACCUACUAUGAGCGAUUAUGAUGACUGCGAGCACGAAAAAUCUACCUAUGAAACAAGAAAACAUGACCGAGAAAGCAAGGGGGUUUAAAACCACUACAAGCAAAACUCUACAUAGAUAUCCCGCGUAGAGAGACUGAGGGUGUGUCUGCAACUUGCAUAAUUGGUAACAUUUGGUCAUGGCUAAAAUGGUACUCCCUCCGUCCCGAAUACUUAUUUCGGAACGGAGGGAGUAGUAUUCUUUGGUUUGUUGCCUCUUUGUUAAGUCUAGUUUAUUUUUCUUAUCAAUAUUGGUCAACUUUUAUGCGAGCAAAAUUAUUAUUUUUUCGAAAAGGAGGACGUUCCCAGGCGAGCAAAAUCAUGAUCAAAAUUUUGGCUAGCCAAUUUUUUGGUUUGUCGCCUCUUGGCAAAAUCUAGUUUACUUAUUUAUUUUGGAAAAACAAAACCACAACUCAAAUUUUGGUUAGCCAUUUGUUUUGGUCAGGCUAAGACUUACCCUGAACCUCACGCUCCGAGACGAGAAAAAAUGCACGCAAAAGCUGUAGCGAUCAAGAGGUCGGAACAGAAGCGUGCUGGGGUUAGUGCGGGAAAGAUGGGGCUUCCGAGAAGCGGGAGGGAUUCGACUCACCUGUGACUGCGAGCGACUCCGCGCCCCGGAAGAGGAAGAAGAGACGAGGAGGACAGAUGAGAGGCAGAGCGGGUCGAGAAGCUUCGACGGGGAGCGGCGGCCGAGACGACAGAAGGAGGAGGGGGUGGUUCGUCUGCUUUACGAUUCGUGCCGCCCAAGCCAGCCGUAAGAUACCUGGCUCGCCUUUACAUUAGCGUAGAUCCUAACGGAGAACCACGAGGGGGUUCGGCGGAAAAGUGCCUCCGCCCAUUCUCUUCUUUCUUUCCUGGUCUUCUGUCGAACGGUGGCGGCGGCGGUCUCCUCGCCGUGCCGGCUCGGUAAGAACUUCCCCUUCGAUCUCUCCCAGAUUACUCCGAAUUAUUAAGCAUGUUAACUUUUCCUCGAUUUUGUGUGUCCCCGCGACCAUAGUUAGAUAUUCACCAACUUGGGAUUUUGCGUUCGUCUUGAUCGCGGUGCCGUGCGGUCUAGGGUUUGCAGAAAUUGCAGCGGUAGAUAAGAAAUUAAUUCCUCUAUGCGUGGUUACUGUCCAGUUACUAUUUUCCUUGUCUCGUAGGUGGCUGAUUUUGAUCGAUCAGGCAUAGAAAUUAAUUAUGGAUUAGUUUAUUUUACAAGUUUAGUUGCUCUAUCCCUGCUAAGACAAGCUAUAGUACAGUAGUUUCUAAGGAGUACCAAGAAAAAUAUGUUUGUGUGGGAGCUUGGGGUUGUGACCUUUACAGCUUCUCUGGGAUUGGACCUUGUCGACCCAAUUGUUCAUUUUCUCAAGUUGUUGAAUGCCUAGAAGUACUUUCUUACCUCUUAAAUUGAGAAUUUAGAUUAAUUUGUACCAUGCCCGUAGCUUAUUUGAGUACUUCCACCAAUUUGUGUUAGGUCAGUGGUCGAGAAAUGAGGCUGCGGUUCAGGACACUCCUCUCUUCGGGACGAGGUGUGAUGAGGCGUAUUCCUCUUAGAGAUGUUAACUAGAGAUGUGGAUCGCGACCAGAACAAUUUUGGGUCGAUGACCGUGGUGCAAUAUUGUCGGUCCUGGUUCAGGGACCAAACAAUAUUUUACAAGAUUACAUGGAGGGUUUCCUCCCGCCAGAAUUUUCACUUCGCAUCUCCCAGAACAAAGAAAAAUAAUAGAAACAACAAGCCCACAGAUCAGGCAGGCCGUCACUCAUCUUGCCCCCCACAAAAAUUCCCCAAACCAAGAUCUCAUCUUCCUCUGCAAUUUGUUUCUCAAAACAUGCUCUGCCAAAGUUCCACACAGCUUGUUCAUCCAUAGAUCUCCAGUCAAGAUUUGCCUCUUAGUUCUAAUCUCAGGUGCCCCUGGAUCCAGCACAGAACCCAUACGCACCGCUCUCCCCUUCCUAUUCCUCUAUUAUACCCUCGCUACCCAGGCGACAAAGCCAUGAAGAAGAUUCUCAAAGCAGCAUCGAAUACAACUUGACCGAGGCAGGGAAGCGGCAUCGCGAGCUUGUGCGAAAGCACAGCCCAUGCACAUUGGCCACUUGGCAUACAACGUACCUGUCAGUGAUCAAAGUGGCCUCAUACCCAUGUACCCCAGUUCCGAUCUCCCGCCCACCUUGAAUUCCAACAGUAGGGCACACAGGGCAGCUUGUUUGAGCCUGAAGACGGAGUAUGGACCAGGGAUUUGAAUUUUGAAUAUGUUUUUUCUGGACCCCUCCGGAUUUCGCAAAAUUCAGUCAAAAUUUGGACGAAAUGACAAAUCCAAAAUUUGAAAUUCAAACCAAAUUUUGACGGGAAAGCAAAUUUCGGGCGAAAGUAGACAAAACCGCGGCACAAAACAGGGUUAAAAUAUAGACAAGAUCGCAUUCAUGCAUGCAUAGAUUAAGUUAGGCAUGGUAGCAACAUACAUAAUUUGAUCCAAAAUACACACCACAGUCCAAUAUUAUAGGUAUACAGUGCAAUACUUGACACAUGAUAGUCCAAAAGCUUAGUGGCAAUGAACAACGAAAUAAAUGCCCACUGGAUGAAAUUCAACCAUGUGAACUAAGAUGCAACGAUCAAGCUGAAGAGUAAUUUGUUGCCCUGGCUGAACUGCAAGUAAUAAAAUCCAGUGAGGCUGAACUGCGAGUAAUAAAAAUACAGUUAGAUGAACAUAGAGAUAAACCAAAACUAAAAGAGAACUAAAUGACUAGAUAAAACUAAUGGUUUGCAACCAAAGCUCUUGCUGGGAAUAUAUUUAUACGGCAGCUAAUAACAUUUUGCUUGUGAUAAAAGGGAUCACUAGGAGCAGUCCCCACUGCCUUCUUAAAGAAUACCAAGCGCAAAACUACAAGCUGCAAGGCUGCAACCGCGAACGAAUUUAAUUUGAAGAAAUUUAUCACAUCAUACCAGUGAAUCAUCUUUUCUUUGUCACGUAGAGGCUUGAGAUGUCCUUCAUCUUCUUCCUGACUGGCCUUCACCUGUUUGGAAACUCCGUUCUGUUUAUGCCUCGUUCUUGUGCAGCCUAACUAGAGGGAGAUUGCAAAUCAGGAGGUGGCUGUACAAGAACGAGAGGACAUAAAUAGAAACAAGUAUUCAAAUGCUUUUAGCCCUAUUGCAAUUCCCGUUACUGUCAUGUGUCACAUAUUGCACUGUAUACCUAUAAUAUUGGAUUGUGAUGUGUUUUUGGACCAAAAUAUGUAUGUUGCUACCAUGUGUUGAACUCAAAUCUAUGCCUGUAUGAAUGUGAUCUUGUCUCUGUUUUCAUCAAUUUUAACCCUGUUUUGCUGCCGAAACUUCAUGUAAUUUUGCCUGAAUUUUGCUUUUCUCAACCAAAUUUGGUUUUAGUUUCAAAUUUUGGAUUUGUUCUUUCGGAGGUCCACGUCGACCUGCCAUCCAUGCAACUGGUUCGAGUGUCCAUAUCUCUUGUUCAGUUUAGGUAGUUUGUGUAUGUAGGAGCACGGCAAUCUGUUCAGUUUGGUUAUAUCUGACUCUGGUCAUAAUCAGGUGUUGUGCGGGAUCUCCUAGUUUUGUAUGCUCUCCCAGAAAUUCUCUGUUCUUAGUUGGGCUAUUUAUUUACAUCAACUAAUUUCUAAUGCUGACCUAUUUCUUGAUUUAUAAACCAUUUUUGUACAGUUAAUUAUAUCAAGAAGGCGACGUUUCCAAUGAAAAUGCCCUUUCUGUGCAACCUUGCAAACUAUUGUCGUAGGCCGUUGGAUCGAGAACGCAUGGUUCAGAUGAAAGGUGGGAAUCUAACCAACCACUUAAACAUGCUUUUGCACAUAAACUUAAGUGGUUGGUUAGAUUCCCACCUUUCAUCUGAACCAUAAGUUCUCGAUCCGAUGGCCUACGAAGAUAGUUUGCUAGUUUGCAUUUAAUGGGCGUUUUAACUGGAUACGUCGCCUAUUAAUAAUAUAUCGUUUGUUAUUUACACUCAAAACAUCUUAAAUUUGCGCUGAUACCAAGUUGUUCUUUAUCUUGUUUCAUAGGGCAUCAAUUUGUACGCCCUACCUACCUGAUCCAGCGGUAGAUGAUUGGUUCAAGUCAUGGAUGGGAACAAAGAUGAGGCCUUAAGGUCUGUCAAGCUUGCACAAACUGCACUUGCAUCUGGAGAUAGACAACGAGCAGACAAGUUCAUUCGAAUUGCCCAAAGAUUGGAUCCCAGCCUUCCGAUUGUUGAUUUGUUGUCCACAAACAAGAAGUUUGAUCCCCUGAAUGGUACUCCUUGCCAAGAGAAGUCCAGAAGAGGCCAAGUUCGUGGAAAUCUAGAAACGCCAAAAGAAUAUGUUGGUGCUUCAAAUGUUGAUAAGGGUUACACAGAGGAGAAUGAUAGAGUGGUCCGGGAUAUCAGAAAGAACAAGGACUACUAUGCAAUUCUUGGAGUGGAGAAGAAUUGCUCAGUGGAGGAGAUUAGGAAGGCCUAUCGGAGGUUGUCACUGAAAAUUCAUCCUGACAAGAACAAGGCUCCUGGAGCAGAGGAUGCAUUCAAGAUGGUGAGCAAGGCUUUCAAGUGCCUAAGCAAUGAUCAGUCUCGGAAGACCUAUGAUCAGACAGGCGCCCUUGAGGGCCAUGAUUUGAACAAUCAAUAUUCCAAUGUCAUGAGGCAGAGAGCUGCUAGGCGAAGGAGGCAAGCAAGAAAUAGCUUCUAUAACUAUGAAGAAGACUUAGAUCCAGAUGAGAUAUUCAGGUCCUUCUUCUAUGAUACUCGUGAUAAUUCGUUCCGUGCGCACAAUGCCUACAGAGCAAGAGGAACAGAUAGGCAGGAGCAGCCGAGAAGGGAGCAUUCGGUACAGGGUGGAUCAGUCAUAAAUUUAACAAUACUGGUACACCUUGCGGUGAUAUUACUCUUUGUCUUGUUUGCAUUCAUUCCAGUACGGCAGCCUGAGUAUGCCCUGCAUAAGACAUACAACUUUCCCAUGUCAAAAGUCACUGAAAAGCAUGGUGUGGAGUACUUUGUCAGCAAACAAGACUUUGAUCUACAAUUUCCACGAGGAAGUCCUUCUAGAGAUAAUCUCGAAGAGUACGUUUUCAGAGACUAUAAGACUCUGAUAGGAAGACACUGUAGUGUGGAACUCCAACGGCGCAAAUGGGCUAAGGACUACCCUACACCUCACUGUGACAAGCUACGGAACCUUGCUGUGGCAUAAUAGUGUUCAUAUGGUGAUUAGUUAGUUCUCUCCUUUUCAUUCGUGGCAGAGAUCUGCUCUCUUUGAAGGUGACAAAUAUAGCUUCUGUAAAUGUUCUUUUGGAUCCAAACUAUAUGGUUGAGUCAUGUGCAUUCUGAUAUUUUUUUUCAGUUCAAGUUUGCAUUUCCAUUUUUCAUCAAGGGCAUCCAUUAUCUCCAGCACUUGCAGAAUGGUAAAUUAUGUGUCAUUUUGUGACAUGGUGUUUCAGUUCAUAGAAAAAGAAUAGUUCUAGAGAAAAUCCAAAAUGAGCCUUCAAGUUCAUUCCUAGAAGGCUAGAAGCCACAUGUUGGAGUGUCAUUUAUUUUGGGUGAACUGCUUGGUGCAUGAAACUAGCACAUUUUUUGAAAUCUUAGCGGUUCAUUUUGAGUUAACAGUUUCUGUAUCUCCUUCAUAACAUGUUUGAUUAACUCAUUUUUGUUACUCGUACUAUAUAUUGAUCAUUGUCACGCAUAGGUCUAAUUUUUUGGGUAUUGUAUAUCUUGCAAGAAACUAAACCUUGUCCUCCUAUCUGUAAGUGGAAAUAUUUCUCACAUAAGUCUAUUAUUUGUGUUUUCAUGCAACUUUGUUGGUUAAUGCAGAUCUUACACAGCAAGAUUUUCUGGAAUGGGAUGAGCAUUAUGGUUUCUCGUCUGUCUGGCGCCCUACCUUGUAUAACGUUCAAAUGAAACAAUUUCGUGCAUGAUGAUAUGGACUAGUAAGUAAAUCGUCUACUACAUGAAGAGGUUUGAUGGCCAGCGGCAAACCUAUUGAAGUAGAACUGGCUGGUCUCCAGCCUCUUAUUUUUCAGAAGCACAGCUACCUCCGGUUAUGAGUGCAAAAUUUUAUACAGAUUAUUAACAAGUUGCUGAGUGCAAAUUUCUGUACAGAUUUAGACUUCCAAAAGUGGUUGGCGAUUCCAGAAUGGCAUUGUACUGCUUGGAAAUUGAAACUACUGUAGAGUUAAAUUCUGGGCGUUGGUUGUAUCUGUUGCUCUCAAAAUCCUUGAAAGGAAAACAGAAAUGUGAAACGCCUGUUGUCACAUUGGUUCUGUUUGAUGUUUGUGCUUUUGAUUUGCUGGAGCUCUACCAAAGUUCUUGUACUAGAAAUUCUGGUCACGUUCUGAUAUUUGAUCCGCUGUCUCUUAGUUCGAGUAAGUCGCUGACAUAUUCAAUUUUGGCACCAUAAUCGAACGUGGGAAUGUCUCAUGAAUCGUCUAAAUUUUACUUCUCCAUCAGGCCGGAAUUACAUGUAGCUAGACACUUUUUAAACAUAAUAACAUCCAUAGUUACACAAAUUUGAGACAAGUAAUAUGAAUUGGAGGGAGUAGUAUUUUUAGGAGUAAAAUUCACUCACGGUCACUGAACUUGGUAUCGAUUAUUAAUUUAGUCAUCGUAUUUUAGAAAUCGAAAGUUACGGUCCGUGAACUUGACGAAAUAUCCCACAUAUGGUUACCGGUACCAUAUUUUGUACAUAUUGGUCCAUACCCUCAGCUUGGAUUUUUGCAUUUUGGCCCUUGAAAAAUAAUUCACGAGGAACGGAGCACAUUUUUUGCAUUUUUUUCAUGUGGCGAAAUGCAAAAAUCCGAGUUGAGCUGACACAGGCUACGGACAAAAUAAGGUACCGGUGACCGUACGUGAGAUAUUUCGUCAAGUUCACAGACCGUAACUUUCGAUUUUCAAAAUAAAGUGACUAAGUCGAAACCAAAUUGAAUGACUGUGAGUGCAUUUUACUCUAUUUUUAGUUAAGCACACUCUACCGAACGUUCCCAUCCCCCCAGCCUUAGUGAAAGGGCAUUUUCCUCCCUAAGUGUUUUGGUGUUAAUGACAACAUGACAUGUGGACUAACCAUGUGCUCGAGUGUUUCGGAUUUGAGAUCAAAUGGCACAAGACGGUUCGUUGCCCUCAAAAAGGAAAGAAGCGUAGCGGUGUUUAGCGGCUUUUAUUUAUAUUGAGCUGUAGGAACUCCGUACUAUAAAGAGGGAGACCACAUGGGAAGGUAAUGGGUGAAUCAACUUCAAGUACACGAAUCUACCAUAUUUGCACCCACAUAAAGCCUACCCAAUCUGUGAGAGAGUAAAGACAUCUCAGAAAAUCAUUUCCAGUGCACUCAGCUCUCCAGGCACCGGAACUUCCGGCCCAACCUCCGGGUGAACCUUCGGGUGCUCUCUGUUACCUCUGGCUAGAAUAUGCGGAACUUCCUCCUGAUCGCCGGAACUUCCAGGGGUGCAACCGGAACUUCCUCCCGUCACUCCGUGAAAUACACAUAAUGGUCAGAUUUCGAGGCCACUUAAAUGGGCUUCGUCCCCAGCGGGUUUCUAGACCCAAGCACCGCCAAGAACAGCCCCUCUCUCACCCCAAGAACACAAGAGCUUCAUUUCCCUUGAUCUCCCUCCCUAGUUCCCCCCAUUGAUUCAUCUUUUGAGGAUUGGAGGAGUAGAUCAAGAUCUAGGGUUUUACCAAGUCAAAAAGUUGAUUCCCCUUGUUUCCUUUGUGGAUUUUGUUACUCUUCUGAUUUUUGGAUCCGUAGCCGGAAGGUGUCUCUUCAAGGCCAACAAUCUUGUGAGGAGGUGCUUGAGAAUUCGAGAAGGAGCCUCCAAUUAAGUUGUGGAGUUGUGCCCUUCUCCUUCUUUGUAAGGGUUCGGCGUUCGUCCUCAAGGAAGCCACUAGUGGAACUCACCUCACCUUUGUGGUGUUGUGAGAACUCAUCCCACCUUUGUGGUGUGCUGAGUUGGAGAAUAGAGUGAGCCUUUGUGGCGCCUAUACCUUUGUGGUAGAGCACUCUUCCAAACGAAGACGUACACCGACCCCAAUAGGUGGAACUCCGGUGAAAUCUCCGUCUCCCCGUGUGGUAUCAUUCUUGCCCCUUUACUUACUCGCAAAGCUUAAUUGUUUAUCUUGUGCUUCGGCUAUCAAGCAAGUUUCAAUUGAUUAUCUAUUGCUUGUGCUCGUACUUCGGGUGUUCAUCAUUUAGACGUUUUAGUGAACCCAUGUAUUGAUGCUUGUAUCCCAUAAAAGUGAAAAGAAAAAGUAAAAUUUGUUACUCGCCUAUUCUCCCCCCCCCCCUCUAGUUGACCAUACCGAUCUUUCAAUUGGUAUCAGAGUCUCAUCUCUUAAAUAGAGCUUAACCGCCUUAAGAGUAUGGCCGACGUGAGUGAGGUGGUUGGAAACAAAGCUAUUAUGGGCACCAAAGCGAGUAUGGAUGUGUUUUAAGCUUUUGAGAUAUCUUAAGCCAUCCAUACUCAUUGAGGUUAAAUCCAUAGUGGCCAAGAGCCUUAAAGCCAAUGCUCGCACUACAUCUUAUACCAACCCCGAAUUUCCCAAAUCCUCACCCGUUGAGGAAAUGGACAAACUGGGUGUGGAUGCCAAAGCAUUAAAAGCUAAGGCUAAUGCUAGUGAUGUGAGAGCAAACCAAUCCCAAGGAAUAGGUGGCUUGGGGUCAUACGGUGAGGUGUCCUAAUCUCAACAUUAUGCAUCCCCUUCCAUUUCCAUUCCUCAUUUUUUCCCUCAAGGCCCUCCACCAAAGCUAAAUGCAUCUAACUUUUCUAAUUGGUUAUUCUGUAUGAGAUCCUAUAUUUGUAGAACAUCAAUAGAUUUAUGGAGAAUCAUUGAGGAUGGGUACAAGCCACAUGAUCAAGGAAACUUAACUACGAGAGAGCAUAUUGAUUUUUUACUCAGUGCAAGUGCAUUGCAUAUUAUUGAAAAGUCUCUUCAAGUGGAGAAUUUUCCUCAUAUCCAUUCGUGCACCACCGCCAAAGAAGCUUGGAAUUAUCUUGUCACAAACCUUGCUUUGAAGGCCAAGGUGUCACAUCAAGAAAAAGAAGAGGAAGAAGAGAGAAAGAAAGAUGAGUGUUGUCUCGAAGCAAUAUUAUAUGCUUAUAAUGAGCAUAUGGUUCUUACUUCAAAAAUGUUUUGGGACAACAAAGAGAACUUCAAGUCAAGUAAUUCAAAAUAUAUUACAAGCUCACAGCCACAAAGUGAGUUGGUGAUUCAAGAAAAAUACUUGUCGGGAGAUGAUAAAGAAGGACAAGAUGAUGAGGUAGUGGGAGUGGCCCACGUUGCCAUUUCCACCUCCUCCCCACCUUCAAUGUCCCUAUUCGACUCCCCCAACGAAAAUAAGAGCUUCACCAACAAGUGCCUCAUGGACAAAGGUAACAUCGUAACUCCUUCCAAUAAAACAAUCAUGCAACCUAGUGUAUCUUUGAUGAAUUGUGUGGAAGAACAAGAUGUGGCCAAGGUUGAGGUAAAUGGUUUUGAUAAGUUCAUGGCUAGCAUAAAGGGAGAGACCAAGAGAUAUUUUGAAGUCCUCUUGGGACAAUUAGGUGAAACCAAUGCCUUUUUGAGGAGAAAGAAGAGAUCAUCAUUGAGAAGGAAGGUUUUGAACGUGAAACUGCGAAUGAGAUCGCGGAGCUCUCCCAAGCUUUGGAGGAUGAGCAAGCAAAUAGGGAAGCCAUCGAGUAAUCUCUUACUUUGGAGCUUUCUAAAGUUAAAGAUUCUGAUAAUCAUGCUAUUUCGCUUGCUAAUGAUUAUUUGGAUAAAAUUAAUAAUAUUGAGGAUGGCCAUGUUAGACUCCUUGUGGACUUUGAGCAACUUGAAAGGGAUCACAAAUCCUUGACGAGUGAGCUUAAGACUCUCAAAGAAUCUCGUGGUCAUCUUCAAUACAACUUGGUUAAAGAAAUGGUUUCUAGUCCUUCUAAUGUUAAUGUUGCUUCAACUAACCCUUGUUGUGAGCAUGAAUCUCUUGUGGAGUAUAACAUUAGGUUGAAGGCCCAAAUUGAAAAUGGUCUAUCCACUCGCAUCCAAGGGGAGAAAAACCUAAAUAACCUUUUGAGCAAUCAAAAGGAAUCUAUUGUAAAGGAAGGGCUUGGGUAUGUGCCCAAGUCCAAAAGCAACAACAAAAACAAGAGAACCAAGCCUACUCCCCAAACUAACGUUUCUUUUGUGAAGGAAUGGGAGUUGGCUAAGGAGAAGGCUAAGAACAAGAAGAGUGGCAAGGCCACUUAUGAUAAUAGUGCCGGGGAUUUUAAUCCCUCAUAUGUUCUUUGUCAUGCUAACGAUGGGCAUGUUUAUGUCAAAUUUGUUGGUUCUCCUUAUGAAAUGUCGAAUGGUCUAUUUGAGUUCCUAAGACCCUUGUUGCUAACAAAAGGGGAUCCAUUGAAAAAUGGGUUCCCAAGACCAAGACUUGAUCUUGUAGGUGUUUGCUUCUGGUGGUGCAUCAUGAAUAAUUGGUAGCGGUGCUACAAAUCAUAUGACCGGGAGCAUGCAAGGAUUUGGUUGUUGAGCUUAAACCUUAUUCAUCUAGCUACAACCAAGUUCUAUUGGGGACUCUUCAAAUUAAAAGGUAUUGAGUCUAUGCAAGGUGAUAAUAUUUUUGGAUACCUCCAUUGAGAAUGUCAUGCUUGUUGAGACUCUUUCAUUCAAUUUACUUUCCAUUUGUCCAUGAGCACUUAUGAGCUUUUCAUCUUUAUUUGGUUUACACCAUGUGACCCUUGUAUGGAGCAAAACUCUUAAAGUAGCCAUUGUUGGAUAUGUGGAAAAUGGUUCUUAUGUGGUAGAUUUCUCCAAGAAACCCACUAAGACCGAAACAUGUCUAAUGGCUAAAUUUGAUAUGGAUUGUUUUGGCAUUGCCAUUUAACCUCCAUGUCAAUAUGAGUUCUUUGCAAAGUCUUCUAAAGUGGAAACAUGUGUUUGGUCUAACCAAUGUGAUUUUUGCCAAAAAUCGUGCCUGUAGUGCUUGCAUUGAAGGUAAAUUACAUGAGAAGAGAGGCUUCCCCACAAGAAUGUAUUAUCACUUCCAAGAGGCCCUUGGAGCUCCUUCACAUGGAUCUCUUCGGUCCUCCAACUAAUGACAGUUUUGUUCGUAGGAAAUAUUGUUUGGUUAUUGUUGAUGACUAUUAUAGGUACACAUGGUUAUAUUUCUUCAAGUUCAAAAGUGAGACCCAACAAACCGUUAUCGACUUUGCUAAUGAAGCCCAAUGCCAAUAUGAUACAAAUAUUUUGGCUAUUAGAAGCGACAACGGCACCGAGUUCAAGAACUACACCUUGGAUAAAUUAUUGAGUGAUGAGGGUAUCAAACGUCAAUAUUCUGCUGCAUAUACCCCUCAACUAAAUGGUAUAGUGGAGAGAAAGAAUAUGACUAGCUUUCGUAUGGAUGCGGCAAGGACAUUGUUGGAGGAGUUAAGUCUCCAUUCAACUUUUGGGCCAAUGUAAUUAACUCCGCAUGCCAUGCAACCAACCGUCUCUAUCUCCGAAGAUCUUGAACAAGACUCCUUAUGAAAUUCUUGCGGGACACAAGGUCAACCUCUAGUACUUUCGGGUAUUCGGUUGUAAGUUUUUCGUUCUCAAGAAAGGUGUUCGUUUAGCUAAAUGUGAACUUAAACUUAUGAGGGCAUAUUUGUUGGUUAUGCUUCUUACUCCCACGCUUAUAGAGUCGACAACAAAUCCAUUGGAAUUGUUGAAGAAUCUUGUAGCGUGGACUUUGAUGAGAAUAAUGGCUCCCAUGCGGGGCAAGUUGAUCUUUUGAAUGUAGAUGUUGAAAUUCCUCCCAAGCCAUACGAAAAAUGGGCAUAGGUCAAAUCAUGGAGAUUGAGGAACCCCGUGUGGAAGAAGGAGAAGAACAAUGCUCUACUCGAGUGGAGCCCUCACGUACACAAGAUCCACAAGCAAACCAAGAACAAAAACAAGUCCCUCAUGUUGAUGACCAAGUUGAUCAAGGGCAAGAUCAAAUUCAAGAUGUUGGUGAUUCAUCACCAAAUGAUGCCCAUGAUCAAGAUCUUCAAGAUAAUCAAGCUUUCAUUGAGCCUCAAGAUACAUCUCAAGAAGUUCUUGAUCGUCGUGCUAUCGGGAUCACCUCACGUCUUCAACAACAAGAACACACCUUGGACAAGGUCCUAGGAAGCGUAAGAAAAGGGGUAACAACUCAUAGACAAUUAGCUAACUUUGGUGAACAUCAUGCUUUUGUCUAUUGUGUUAUGCUUCAAAAGGUACAUGAAGCACUCGAAGAUCCGGAUUGGCUUAAUGCCAUGGAUGAAGAAUUGAACAACUUCGAGCGCAACUAGUGUGGUCAUUGGUUGAGAAGCCAAAGGAUUAAUUGCAAGAAUGUCAUAUGGACCAAAUGGAUAUUUAAGAACAAGCAAGAUGUACUUGGGCAAGUGAAAAGGAACAAGGCAAGAUUGGUGGCUCAAGGUUUUCCCAAGUCGAGGGUAUUGACUACGGUGAAACUUUCGCUCCCGUUGCUCGCCUUGAAUCUAUUCAUAUCUUGCUUGCAUAUGCAUCACAUCAUAAUAUUACUUUGCAUAUGAAUCACAUUAAAAGUGCAUUUUUCUAUGGUCCACUAAAUGAUUUGGUGUAUGUCAAAGAACCACCGGUAUUUGAGAAUCCUAAUUUCCUAACCACAUCUAUAAACUUGAUAAGGCGCUCUAUUGACUUAUGAAAACUCCACAUGCGUGGUAUGAGCACCUUAGAGAGUUGUUAGUGGAUUGUGGGUUUGAAAUUGGGCUAAUUGACUCCACUCUUUCUACUAAGAGAUUUGGUGGUGAUUUGUUUAUAUGCCAACUAUAUGUUGAUGACAUUAUAUAUAUUUGGUUAUUCUAACAAUGCUUUGAGUGAUGAUUUUCUAAGCUAAUGACCGAUAAGUUUGAGAUGUCUAUGAUGGGUGAAUUUGAGUUCUUUCUUGGAUUUAAAAUCAGACAAUUGAGAGGACGGAUUUUCAUUAAUCAAGCUAAAUAUACCCAAGACAUGCUCAAGAGAUUCAAGAUGGAUGAUGCCUAGUGUGCAAGGACUCCAAUGCCAACAUCAAGUUCUCUUGAUCUCGAUCCCAAUGGUAAUACGUGGAUCCAAAGAUGUCAAUCUGCACCAAGAGAUUGUCACUUAAUUAGUGGCGGUCAAAAGAAUCUUUCAAUACUUGGUUCAUACCUCAAACUUUGGAUUAUGGUAUCCUAAAGGUUUAAGUUCAAUCUUAUUGGAUAUUCGGAUUUGGAUUGGGCAGGAGACAAAAUGGAUAUGAAGUCCACAUCCGGGGCUUGCCAAUUUAUUGGUAGGUCUCUGGUGUGUCGUCUUCUAAGAAGCAAAAUUGUGUGUCUCUAUCUACCACCGAAGCCGAGUACGUCGCAGUCGCAAGUUGUUAUGCACGAUUGUGAUGGAUGAGGCAAACCUUAUUGAACUUUGGAAUUACUUGUGAAAAGUGUGCCUCUUUCGUGUGACAUUGGGAGUGCUAUCAAGAUUGUCCACAACCCCGUGCAACAUAGCAAGACGAAGCAUAUUGAGAUUCGUCACCAUUUCUUUUGAGUGCAUAUGGAACGUGGAUAUAUAUAUAUAUUGAGCUCUCAUUUGUAGCCACCGGCAAGCAACUAGCGGAUAUUCUCAUAAAGCUACUUGAUGAAGCAAGAUUAUGUGAAUUGAGGUGUGAGCUAAAUAUCAUAAGAUUCAAGUAAUCUGGUAUGAUGAAGUUGCACACCUACCCGCGGUUGACAUUUAUCUUGUUUUGGUGUAGGCAUGAAUGUAGGGGGAGCAUAGCUCUAUUCAUGGGCAAAUGCUACUUCUACUAUGCAUAAAUGGUUUUCUAUAUAUUGAGCUUAAAUGUGAGUUUUGAUUCUUGAGCCCAAUAUUUAUCUUCGCAGUGUCAAGAUCAUAUAUACUCAAACAUGGUGGCUAAGGCCACCAUCUCCUCAUGUGAGGAGUUGGUUCUUAUUUGAAAUUCAUUGCAUAUCUAGUCAAGUAUGACACUAUAUGAUUAUCUAUGGAAAAACACUCAUAAUUGGUUUUAAUUUGCUACUUGCAAUUUGAGUGUGUAUUGCCAUAUUAUAUACUUUGUGUGCAUCUUAUCCUAAGCCUUUAAUCUUACGUUGAAACCAUCUAUUCUCAAAACACAAGUUCCUUGUUUUGAAACAUGGAGGUUUCGCCAUUCCAGGGAGGUACUGCCGCUCCUCCCAGGGCGGUACUACCGGACGGUCGUACAACCACCCUUCACAGGGCGGUACAACCACCGACAGUGGAUUUCUAAAGAGUGAAUGGGCUGGGGCUAGUCGAGUGGGAGUUUUCUUCCUUCUCCAUCCGUGCCCCCAACCCUAUAGUUCCUCCACCCCCUUCUUUGGCGAACUCCCCAAGCUAAUGCUUGGAUCCACCGGUUAUCCGGUCCUCCCAAAGAUCUAUUCCAUGGAAACCGUUUUCCUUCAUCUCCUCUACCAUGAAGGCCAAUAAUUUUUUCAAUUCCCCAUUAUCUAGAAUUUUGAAACCCUAGGUGUGGUUGGAGAGAAGUUGCAAUGUCUUUUGGUAGAAUCUAGUCUUGGAGUAGCUUUGUUUCGAGGAGUUUGUGUGAUUAUCUAUUCCCUCGUAUCUAUAGAUCUUUCACAAGUGCUAGCUCAAUCAAGACCAAGGGCAAGGCCCAUGCAAAGAAAGAGACCAAAAGAGAGAUCUUUACAAAUGAAGAAGCAUGCCGAGUCGAGGUUUGGUAAUCAUGGUACCUUGGGUGAUAGUGUUGUUUUGAUGCCACAUAUAGCCCCAAGCAAGGAUGAGAGUGUGAUUGGCAAGAUGGAAAAGAAGAUGAAGGAAGUGCUUUGUUUUGAACAAGCCAAUGAAGUCAAUAUGUAUGAAGCCCACAAGAAUGCAAAGAUCGUCCAAUUAAUCAAUUGAAGAUGUUGAGAGUACUUAAUGUGGAUGAUGCUAGUGGAAGCAAAUAAAAUUUGAGACCCUUGAAGAAUAGAAUUCAAUUCGUGGAGCUUGGGAUGAAGAUGAAUUUCUCCACCUCAGGAGUGUUGUGAGGUUUAGAUUGCUAGACUUGCGGGGAUUUGCAAGGGUUUUUAAGUCACAAGCUCGUUUCUUCUUGUAUUUCAUUUGAUGAUGCUUGUGAGCUAUAUUUUUUGUUGUGGUUUGAUCGAUACAUUUAUUUAUGCCUUUGUGUCAUUGCUUUGAACUAAUGGUGACCUUUUUAGGUCCUUACGCUUUGAUACAAUGUGUGUAAGACAUGUUCUUUAUAUGCUUGAGAUGCAAUAGCUAGUCAUGUGCUUAAUGUUCACUUUGUGUUAUGCUUUAUGCCUAUUGUGACUUGCUAUAUCUCAUAUGUGCUUUAUAUCUAUCUCAUGUCUCACUAAUCAUGUGUGGAGAUGCUUAUAAUUUUGCCUUUGUAGAAUUUGCUCCAUCACAUGAUCUUUUGGAAAAAGGUAUGCCCUUCAUGGGAUGGUUUGUGAGACAUGGUUAACUUUUAUAUGCAUGAGUCCUAAUAGCUUAAGUCAUUUGGUGGUAUUGUGCUUUACUCUAUACCUAUGACAUGCUAUGUUUUUAUGGUCUAUCCUUUAAUGCAUAUUUGCUCUAUGUCUAUAUCAUGUCUUACUAAUUGUGUUGUGGAGAUGUUUUUAAUUUUGCCCUUCUAGAAUUGCUCCAUGGCAUGAUCUCAUUGCAAAAUGUAUGAUUUCAAUUGUUGGAUUUAUCUAACCCAUUAUACUUCAUGGAAGUAUUGCUCUAUAUAUAUUGUUGGAUAAGUCCAUGUAGGGUCCAUUUACUUUUGUUAUGCCUCUUGAAGGUAUGCUCUAUAUCUUAUAUGAAUGAAUGUUACAUAUCUUUGUGAAGCUCCGAUUGAAAUAUCUUUGAUCCUUUUCAAUUGAGUAUUCGCUUAUAAAAUCUAGGGGGAGCGUUGAUCCUAGCUUAUGUGCACUUUGCAAUCCAAAAGCAAAUUCAAAAUAGUGCAUAUAGCUAGGGGGAGCCCGUCUAUAUUUUAUUCGCUUGUGUUAAUCUUAUUGCAUAUCAUUAUUAAGCUUUAUUGUUGUAUCUUACUGCAAAUCGUUGUGUUGUCAUCAAACACCAAAAAGUGGGAGAUUGAAAGGGCAUUUCCCUCCCUAAGUGUUUUGGUGUUAAUGACAACAUGACAUGUGGACUAACCGUGUGCCCGAGUGUUUCAGAUUUGAGAUCAAAUGGCACAAGACGGUUCAUUGCUCUCAAAAAGGAAAAAAGCGUAGCGGUGUUUAGUGGCUUUUUAUUUAUAUUGAGUCGUAGUGAUAGCCUUGAGGGUGUCCCGAUCUUUCGAUGAGAUACCUAAUUAUCGAUUUGGUAGGAGGUGACGUUGACGAUCCGACUACAACCUAGGAGGCAGCACCUUAGCGAUCGAUACACCAACUCCAGAAGGUUAUUGAUCCCGCGGGGACACGAUCAACCUGACCACGAAGGUCUUUGUUCCUGCAAGCAAUCAAAGAACAAGCAAGAACAAGAUGAAAAGCAAUCUGAAAUUGCGAACAGGAGAUAUGAAGGUUCACGAAUUUGAAUACUCAAUAUAGUUGGAGUCUUGAUGACGGUAAAACAGGUGGUCUAACCGACACACGCGAUUACACGAAAGUAGCAAAGGCUAAACUUUAUCUAAUCAAAACCCAAGGCUCCUUAGGGGGGCUCAUGGGGUAUAUAAAGGAGGAGGGAGAGAUAUUUUCGUCCACCUUGAGUAAGGAGGCCGAAAUCCAACUCUAUCUCUAACUUUCCUAACAAAUUACAACUCUUUAGGAAACAGAAAAACAGAUCCGUCAGCUUGUUUUGUCUGCCACAGUCAGCACGAGUCGAAUCUAUUGAUAGGGCCAGAUCCGUUGGAAAGGUAUUGUAAUUACCUUUCCAACAAGUACUUGUUUGCUUGAUUUGAACUCCGGAUGCGGCGUGGGUGAUUAAAACAAAUUCGGGUCUCCUGACAGCUCGGAUCUGAAUCGGAUUCAACUUUAAUUCGUGAUAUCUUUCUCUAGCAAGCUCCGAAUCAUGUGCCGUUUGAUUUGUUGGAAAGUAGAUUUGAUAGGCUUCACUUUGAAUCUCCCUUUGCAGGCUAUCACACUUCAUCUUCACUUUGGACUUGUAAAGUUCAAUAAGAUGACUACAUAAUAAGAUUAUACAAGAUAACCAGAACUUCUAGCUGACCGGAACUUCCAGGAGUGCAACCGGAACUUCCUCCCGUCACUGCGUGAAAUACCCAUAACGGUCAGAUUUCGAGGCCACUUAAAUGGGCUUCGUCCCCAACGGGUUUCUAGACCCAAGCACAGCCAAGAACAACCCCUUUCUCACCCCAAGAACACAAGAGCUUCAUUUCCCUUGAUCUCCCUCCCUAGUUUCCCCCAUUGAUUCAUAUUUUGAGGAUUGGAGGAGUAGAUCAAGAUCUAGGGUUUCACCAAGUCAAAAAGUUGAUUCCCCUUGUUUCCUUUGUGGAUUUUGUUACUCUUGAAAUUUUUGGAUUCGUAGCCGGAAGGUGUCUCUUCAAGGCCAACAAUCUUGUGAGGAGGUGCUUGAGAAUUCGAGAAGAAGCCUCCAAUUAAAUUGUGGAGUUGUGUCCUUCUCUUUGUUUGUAAGGGUUCGGCGUUCGUCCUCAAGGAAGCCACUAGUGGAACUCACCUCAUCUUUGUGGUGUUGUGAGAGCUCAUCCCACCUUUGUGGUGUGCUGAGUUGGAGAAUAGAAUGAGCCUUUGUGGCGCCUGUGCCUUUGUGGUAAAGCACUCUUCCAAACGGAGACGUACACCGACCCCAAUAGGUGGAACUCCGGUGAAAUCUCCGUCUCCCCGCGUGGUAUCAUUCUUGCCCCUUUACUUACUCGCAAAGCUUAAUUGUUUAUCUUGUGCUUCGGCUAUCAAGCAAGUUUCAAUUGAUUAUUUAUUGCCUGUGCUCGUGUUUCGGCUAUUGCAUCAUACUAGGGGUGUUCAUCAUUUAGACGUUUUAGUGAACCCAUGUAUCCCAUAAAAGUAAAGUUUGUUAGUCGCCUAUUCACCCCCCCUCUAGUAGACCAUACCGAUCUUGCACUUAGGACGUGUACUGGUUCAACGUCACUUAAAAGACAAUAAAACAUGACAUAUAAUAAGUUACUUUCUACUUUUUUUAGUCUUUAUAUAUAGUUGUUACAAGUUUUCUUUAAAACAUAUGUACAUUUUGGUUUUCAAAGACUGGUUAAUCAUUUUAUUCUUACUUAUUUAGGAAAAUAAUAUCAAUGCUAGCAUCAUAUUAAGUGAGUGGAGGUGGAGCUGAGUAAAAAGAUUGUAAGAACAUUGAAUGGGUGUGCAAUUAAUUGCAUGCAAAUAUGAAAAGAAUUCUCUUAAGUUUUUUUUUCCGUUCUAAGGCUACAUGUAUUAUAAGUAAAAAGAAACAAAGUGAUUAGACCACUCUCAAAUCAUAGUAUGUCAGUAUCUUAUGUCAUAUCACAAUCUUAUGUCAUAUCAGAUGCACUAAAGAAGCUUACUGUUGUACUAAGAUGUAAUUUCUUCAAUGGCUCGUAUCUCAGUGUUGUAUCUAAGCAAGUUAUUAUUUAUUAUGUUUUGUGAGAGAAGAUUUUUAUGGGUUUUCUUGGGUUUGGCACUAAUAUUCUUAUCUAGAUUAUGACAUUCAUCCAUCUCCUUCUUCAUCAAAUAGGAUAUCACGUCAGAUUUUAUCUAGAUGGUAUGCUUUAGACACGAUAAAUGGUGGGAUAGUGGGAAUUGCCAUUAUCUCUUAGUGUCAUAUAGCACUAAAGGUACAUGAACUUGGUAGGUUAGAACAAUUUAGUGCAUAAACUUGCAAAUCAUGCAUUUGCCACCUUAAAUUCGGCAGACGAUAACACUUUCAAUCCAAAUCAUGUUUUAGAGCUCAAAUAUGCCAUGUGGCAACAAAAAGUUCAAAGGUUUGUUUUAGCAAAGUUGUUACUCCAAUAACUUCCAAAUAACAUCCUAAAGAUUUCCUCAUUUUCCGCAGUCCGGGCCUCGGUCCUUCUUUAUUUUCCCAUUUGAACAAUCAUUCCUUGUUCAGCGAGCUGGCCCACUACAUCGAUGAGCUCAUCUAAAAAAAACUUGCCAAGGCUUUUUUUUGUGUUUUCAAACUCAUAUGUUGUUGGGACUUUUAACUCGCGUUAUCGCGUACGACAAGCAUGAUGGCUCUUUAAGAUUAGUGAUUUUCGGAAAGGUUGAGGAACCUUUAGGGGAUUAUUUGAAAAUUUUCAUAGAUGCAAGUUUGCUGAAAAUUUCCAUUAGAAGUUUCCUAAAAGCGUGGCUCAUUUGGGCUAGAAGUGUUUGAGCUUGCGAACUUUAAGAUGUUGAAUGCACAUUUACAAGUUUAUGGACUAAAUUAUUUCCAUCCGAAAUUAAUUUUAAAAAAAGUGAUUAAAAGAUAAAAUCUAUUACUAUCUAUUAAAUUGGAGUUGGCGGUGAUGGUACCGCCGUGGUAGCGAUACGUCCCGCGCCCUCCUCCCUGGACCCUUCCCGAUCCAACUCCUAUCCCAUACGUCAAACUCGCCGCUCCUGUUGCCUCUCGUCCGGUCGGCACUGCAGCCCAGCCCAGCACCCUGAUCCCCCUUCAGGCCCACCAACCCCAUCUCCCCUUCGGCCCAUCUCCAACCUACAGCCUAGGCGCAGCACAACCCAGCUGCCUUGCAGACCAUCUGUUGAAUAAAUACCCUGUCCGAUGAACAAUUUGUUGUAUACCUGAAAAUAUUCUCAUUUUGUACACAUGUUCAGAUUUCCUAUUUACAACCUAGGUGUGCCGCCAAUUGCAAGUCAUGUAGUAGCCUAAUCGCUUCAGCGGAGCCUUUUAUUUUCUGUAGCAACGCAUGGGAUUUUGACUAGUCUAAUACAAUAGGAAAAACCGGCUUAUGUUUUUCGUAAAAAGAUCGUCCUUUAGUUAAUUAAAAACAGACGAAUUUUAUUUAUCCCAUCCAAUCUCUUCUAAGUCGGCAGUUAUCUAUUCUUAUGUAGUAUCGCCUCUAAAAAAACUUAUCGCUCCGUAAUUCCUAAAAAAAAAAACUUACUCGUACUACUCCAUAUUAAAAGACAUAUUCUCCUCUUUGAAUCAGUGCGUGGCAAUACUUUCGUUUUGACAUAUUCUCCUCUUUGAAUCAGGGCGUGGCAAUACUUUCGUUUCUUUUGAUGUUUAUAAACGCUAGUCGGCGUAGAUGGUCAUGCACUUGCCGACUCUUGUGUCACACUGCCACUAUAGACACCACGGGGUCAAAACUCUCCGAAGAAAAGAAAAAUGGUUCCUGCGGCGGCGGUGGAGGGGCUUGCGGCCUACCGGGCGGUGCUGCGGGCGGCGCGGCGGACGUUCUCAGGCGACCAGUUGAUGCUGACGGAGUCUGCGGUGGAGAUCCGGCGUCGCUUCGAGGAUCACCGCGGUCUCGCGCCAGGAUCGGACGACGCCGCCCGCGCCCUCUCCGAAGCCCGCGAGGCCGCACACUUCAUCACCAACAUGAUCGUCCAGGCCCAACGCUCACCCUCCGGAUCGUUCGGUACUACCACCAUUGCCCGAUCAUCACAUCACACGCUUGAAUUUUAUGCCUUGCUUUCUGUUUCAGAUCUUAGGGUUUCAAAAGAUUUCUUUGCGUAUUCAUCUUUAGAAGCAGUCAUUGAUUUGCUUUAUGUGAGUUAGGGCUUUCAGCAGGCUUGAUUUUGUGGUUAAGGAUGGUAGGACCGUAGAAACAGGAGAUGUUGACCCUAGUUCUGUGAGAUAAAUGUGGUGCUUGAUAAUCAGAGCGCUUCAGACAGUUACAGAUUGGCUAUUGUAUCAUUUGAAUUUACUGAAACCGGUAAAAGUGCAGCCGCUCUUUGCUAGAAGGAGCAACAUCCCUAGACAGCAACAAUUA